rnacentral:lncRNA from 1 species
GUUGAGUAGGUGUUUUAUUGUCAAGGAAGAGCAUUACAAAGUCUUAGACAUAAUAUAAAGUAACUUUGCAAAUAAACUUUGGAAAUUUAAGACCAUGAUGUAAACGGUGAAGUUGACAUGGUCCAUAUGUGUUUUGUAUCUGUUUUAAGAAAGAUAAUGUGGACAAGAUGAACAAGGUGAUAUUUAAAGAUUAUCAAAUAAAAAACAAGAUAAUAUAAUUGCUACCAUUCAAAGCUAAAUUGCAUUACAAGUAUCACAUGGAGUAGCGCAUUGCAAUUUGAUUAGAAAAUCAAGGAUUGUUAACUGCUUACUAAAAGACAUUCUUUAAAGGAAAGUAGAAGAUGUCAAUAGAUGCAUUUUUAAGCGUGGACAUUAGAAAGUUAUACUUCAUCAUUAAUGCUCUAAUUAUCAAUAGUGUAUUUACAAACUUUUUCUAUUUCUUUGAAGACAACAUUAAAGAUAGUGAUUUUGAGUCAAUCUCAAAAAUAAACACCUUGAAGUUGUUCAAGUUGGAUGAUUUUAACUCUAAAUAAUUGGUUAUAAUCAAGAAUCUAAUGAUGUAUUUUAACAUGGCUACUAGAACAAAAAGGAUAAAUGAAGAUCUUUAUUUGAGAAUGGCCUAAUUGAAGGUUUAAUAGAAAAUUAUUUUAGAAAUUAUAAGUAAAAGUUACGAAGAAAUAAAAAUAUUAAAAAAAUGUAUUUAUUAUUUUUUCUAUUAAAAGAGAUUUUAUUUAAUUUAAAAGAAUUUUAGGUGCAUUGGUUAUGAACAAAUUAAAUUUGUAUAGAUUAUGCAAGAGCUAUGUUGAGUUAGAUUUUGGUUUGAUUUGGUUGUCUUUGUUUUUUAAGAUUAAAGUAGACUUUUUAUUUUGGAUACUUUGUAAAUUUUAUUAUAGAUCUAUAGGUGAAAUUUUUGGAUUUGUAUAUAUAUUUGUCUUAAGUCUAUGAUAUAAACUUGAACUUAGUUACUUAGUUGGAUUCAAAGUUAUUAGAAUUCAAGUAGUUUAGAAUAUUGGUAGUUGAUAAUUGGAGGGUUAGUAAGAAUUUCAAAGAUUUGUAGGAAUUUUUCAAUCAAAUUGAGAUAUACAUUUAUAAACAAGUAGUUGAAGUAAAUUCCAAUCUAUAUAAAAAAAUCAAAUCAAAUCAAAUCAAAUUAAUAAUACAAGUAGAUUAUCUUAGUGUAAAGAAUUUAAUAUACAAUUAGAAAAAAAAACAAUCUAACAAUUGAAUAAUUUAUUUGUGUUUUCUCUCAAUCUAUAUAUAUGAUUUUUUUUAAUAUUUUUGAGCUUUUUUUUAAUUAAGAGAUUCAAAGAUAUGUAAUAUUUAAAAUAAAAUCAAUAAUUAAUUAAAAAAUACACAUGGAUUUUCAAUUAUUGAUGGAUUUAUUUUAAAUUGAUUAAGAUUUUUUUAGAAUAUGGUUAGGAUUUGGUUAAGAUUUGAUUAUGAUUGUUUAUAAUUUCUUUAAGAUUUGAUUUAUUUUUAUUGUAAUCUUUUUAGAAUAUGGUUUAGAUUAGUUAGAAUUAUUUUUGGAUUUGGUGAAAAUUUAUUAGAAUUUAAUUAAGAUUUAUUUAGUAUUUUAUCAGGAUUUAAUAGAUUUAAUUUUAGAUUUAAUAAGUAUUAUUUAAUAUUAUUUAAUAUUUUCUUAGGAAUUUUUUAGAGCUUGAUUAUUAUUUAAUAAAAUAUAUCUAGAAUUUUUCUUGAAUUCAUAGAGUAUUUUGAGGGUAUCUUAAGGCUUAUUUAAGACCUUAUUUGAGUUGUUUAUGAUUAUAUAGGUUGUAAUUAAAAAUCGGUAGAUUUAAAAACUAAUUGAAAUAAAUAUUUCAACAAGAUCAAGAUUUCUAAGUUGGUUGUUUUUAAACAUCUUAAGCAUAUCUUUUUUAUUAUUUUUUUAUCUUUCCAUUAAAUGAAUUUUGUUACUAAAAAAGUGACAAUAGAGAUAUUAGAUAGAAAUUUGUAUAAGAUGAUGUGUUUUUCAUUUGUAAACUUUUGCUCUCAAUAAAAUUUGAUUGUUUUCAUUAAAUACAAACUGUCCAAAAGAUACAACGUGUUGGGUGCAAUUUGAUACUAUGAUUAGUUGAAUUCUAAAAAAUUAUUAUUAUUUGGUGAAACACAUCAAAGAGAAGUUUUAGAUAUAUACUACUUUGGCACUUUGGAAGAUAUUGACGGUAUUUAUUGCUUUAUUAUUCAACAUCUAUAAUGUAACAGUUUCUAUUUUUUAAUCCAAAGACAUGGUAUUAUCACAAUAGAGCUCAAAAAGCAAUAAUUUGACUACUAAUCUCUCUAGCAUUGGCAUUAUUGAUCAUGCACCAAUAAAGCCAUACAAAUAUUCAUACAAAUAUUUAGACUCAUCUAAAUAUAUCAAAGAAGAGGUAUUGUAGUAGAGCAUGGUUAAAAUAAUUAUACUAUUGACACAUGGAGAUAUGUAAUUGGGAUUAUUUUUAGAAAGUUUUUAGAAGUUUUUAGAAUUGGAUUUAAGUUAGUGGUCUAUAUAGGAUCCACCAUGGAACAUCCUAAAAGAACUAAGGGCGAUUAUUUAGGUGGAUCCCACUUCUAGAAUCUUUUAGAAGAGUAGUUAUCUUUGUGGAAUCUACCAUCAAGGUAAUUCUAAAAAGUUUUAAGAUGGUUUAAUAAAGUAUAAAUAGGAUUGAUUGAGGUCAUUUGGAACAUUUAGUUAGGUAUGGUUUUGGUCCCUUUUUCUCAAUAAAGUUUGAUUUGUAUUUUUUUAUAUAUUUUGUUCUAUUCUAUUUUCUUUUGCUUUGUUUCAUCUUUUAUGUUUUAUUUUGUUUAAUUCUGUUUAGUUUUGUUCUAGUUUGUUUUUUCCUAUUUAGUAAUGGGAUCUAUGCUACUAUAGAUUGGAAGGGUUUUAAAUCUUUAAGAGAAUUCAAUUCUAUUUUAGAUGCUAUAGAUGAAGUGAAAAUCAAUCAUUGAACAUAUCCAUAAUCAAGACUUAUAAGCUUGUGUUUUUUUUGUUUUUUUGUUAAAGUCAAGUCUUGAUUAGUAUGUGAUACUACUCAAUAUUUCUUGAAUUAUAAAUUACUUAAUCAUUUAAAUAUCUUAAAUUUGUAUUAAGUAUAAUAACAAAAAAUAGAUUGUUAUAAACUAAGCUUUACACAUAAUGCCUAAACAACUUAUAACAAUCUAAAUUAUAAUAUUCAUUAAUUAAAUUCUUAAUCUCUAUUAUUUCUACUUUACAUGCUUCUUAUUAUUGAAAAUCUUUAAACAAGUAGAAUACAAUUAUAAAGCAUUAUUACAUGCCUACAAUAAUGAAUUCAUAAAAAAAUAUAUAUUAUAAAUGGUCAUGAUUGUAUGACCAUGUUCAAUCAUGCAUUGUUAUGGACAUACACAUGUAAACCAAUAUGAUUAGAUAAAAGUAGAUAAAAGUAGAUUAAUUCCAUAAUAUCUUCUAUAGAAGCUUUUUAGAAGCUUUGUAGAUACUGCUUUGACUUUAUAGGUGUCUAUAAUUGACUUUUUAAGUUAAAAACGUGGUCAACAAGUUGGUCAUAUGCCACACAUGUUGGUAGCUUGAAGAAUAAGCUAAUUAUGUGGCCUACACAUAGAAAACUUGUCUUGUAAGGUAAAGCAUGUGUUUUACAAAGUCAACAUAUAUUAGAGGUUCUAUAGAACAUCACCACAUAGUUCUUAGUUAGAUAGUAUAUAUAGAGGCAAGAGUGAAGUCGUCUUCACUUUUGUCAACUCAUUUUUUGCUUCAAGUCUAGAUUUAAGAAUCUCUAGUUUCCUUGUCUUUUGGCAAUAGCUAUUCCAAUUUCUUUUUAAUAUGUAUACUACUUUAUUGUUAUUUUGUCACUUUUCUUUUGACAUAGAUUUCUCAAGUUUAUGCAUCUUCUUCUAAUUCAUGUCCUUGACAUGCAUAGAAUUAUUGCAAAGGUUAUUUCCUUCAAUUUUAUUGGUUCUCAAGUACUUUGCUAUUUGCCUUUAUCAACACUAUAUUAGUGGAAUUAUAUUUUAUUAUUUAAAAUUUUAAAAAAAAAUAAAACAAAACAAAAAAACAAAAAAAAAAACAAAAAACAAAAAAAACAAAAAACUCAAAUUACUAAUCCUUCAAAAAUCUAUUUCUUGAAGAAAUCUUCUAAAAAAAGAAACAUGCUCAUGAAGCUUCAAUUUGAUAUUUGCUACUAGUAUAAGAAGUUGGCGUACCACAAUGAAUUUAAGUAUAGUAAUUGUGACAUAUCUUAUUUUUUUCAAACUUUUUUUAAUGUCUUAUAUCAUGAAAUAUUCAUAAUCUAUAACUUGAAAUAAUUGAUCUUCAACUUAGUUAUUAUCUUUACUUUCUAAAAUUAAUAUUUAAUUCUUAUGACAUUAUUAAAGAAUUAAUGUCUAAUUUGAUGAGUUAUAAAAUUUAAAUUCAUAAUUUUACAAAGAUAACAUAAUUUAUAGUUUAUCUAGUAAUUGUAUUCAAUAAUAUAAUAAAUGAUUACAUGUAACUAAAUUUCAAGGAGAUAUAAUUACUAGAAUCAAAAUCUUGAGGAAAAUAAAUCUAGAUCAAAGUGUGUUUGUUAAAGCCAAGAACUGAAAGAAAAUAUGGAAUUAAAAGAGAUUUGUAUCAACAAGAGAUGACAAAAAUAGAAAUAAAAAAAAUAUGUAUCUUUAAGAAAAAACUAAAAUGACUAUUACCAAAGACUAGAAAUCCAAAAACUUUUGAAACUAGACUAGAAGCAAGAAAGGAGUUGACAAGAGUAAGAAAGGCCUCAUUCUUGCCUCUACAUACACUACCUAAGUUAGAGCUACAUAAUGAUAUAUUUGCAAUGGAUAGCAUUAAGAUAGCAAAAAUCUACACAAAUAUAGAGUUUAUUAUUUUUCUUAGGAGCAACAAUAAUUAGAGAAAGCCAAAUGAUUUGGUUGAAUAAUUCAAUGAAUUUGUGUGAGACUUGGAAAUUGAUUUAAAUAGUCUAAAAUUGAGCUUUAAUCUCCAAAUUGAGUAUGUAUAGAGUAGUUUCUUUGAUUUGAUUCCAUUCAAUAAUAUAGAGGUUAGAAAGUUCUAACACCAAGCAAUAUUACUUAUAAGGACUAGCUUAGUCAUUAGUCCUAUUUUCUACUAGUAGAAUUCAUAUUUUUUUAUUUUUGAUUUUACUGUGGUUUCCAAAAAUAUUUAAUUGGCCUAGUAAAUUUAUAUGGCCUUCAAAUCCUUCUCCAAUUCUUCAUAAUGGCUCCCAAGGUGAUAAAACUUAUUUGUACUAAAAUCUUAAAAAUUAUUCUAAAAAUUCCUAAAAAAAAUCUAGAGAAAUUUUAAAUAAAUUCUUCAAAUUAUUAAAAUAAUUCUAAAAUUCUAUAAUCAAUUUAAGACUAGAUUUUUUUUAACUAAGUAGCUUUCUAUAGUAAUAAAAUAAAUUUAAAUCAACUAUAAAUUAUAUUUCUAAUAUAAAUAAUAAAAAAGAUAUGAGGUUCUUUCUCAUGCUUCUUUUAACUACUAAUUAAUAAUUACAAUUUUUUUAAAAUUAGUAUAUGAAGAUAGAAGGCUUAUGUAGAUAUUUGUCUCAAUAAUUAAAUAAUAAUUCUUAAUAAUAAACUUAAUAAGAUUCUAUCCUAUUAAUAUUUUCUCUAGUAAGACUCUUGUACCCAAUUAACACUUCUAAAUUCUAAUAAAUACUCAAGUAAUCAAAAAGAUUCUCUAAUUCUAAUAUUUUGUAAUUAAAUAACUUAAAACUAUAUUUUUAACAGUUCUACCAAUCAAGAUCUAUUGAUAGGACUUACAUAGCUAUUUUAAUUUUAAAACUAUAUUAUUUUUGAGUAAAUUUAUAGAUGUCUUCAAAAGAGCCGCAAGACCAUAAAAAUUUCUCCUAUGAGUAUUUAAUAUUUAGAAAGUUAGUAUAAAAGUGCCCUACAACUUGGAUAUUUGACCUAAAAGUCAUACAAUCUUUAGAAAUUUUCUAAAUUGCCUACUUAUUAGCUAGUAUCUAUGAAGGAAAAAUUGAAGCUAUCUUCACUCUUCCCUACACCUUUUUACAAUUUAAUCUUUGUUCAAGAUUCUCUUGAUUCUUUGCACUUGAUAAUUUUUAUUCUAGUAACUUUCUAUAUUUUAAAUAUAUAUCUUCUUUGUAUUUUUAUUUAUUUUUAAUUCUUUUUAGUUUUGCACAAGUAUAGUGUCUUUUGAUAAGUCUUUCUAAAUCCAUGUCUUCAAUUAACAUUGAAGUAGAAUUUACAAGAAUACUUCUAUUACUACUCCAAUUUUUUAAAAAGAGUCAAAAUUUCUUUAAUCAAUUUACUUCUAUUAAUUUUUUUUGUAGUUCUUUUUAAUGGCUUUCAAAGACAAUUGAAAAUAUUACAUUUUAAAAUUUUAUGUUAAUUCACUAACUAAUCAUCAUUAACUUUUCAAAUUUUUGUUAAAUUUAGAGUUUAAUAAUUAGUGUAAAAUUAAGCAUUCUCCACUAACUAUAUAUAUAUAUAUAUAUAUAUAUAUAUAUAUAUCAAUAAAUCAAUUAAUAUAUAUAUUUUUUAAAAAAUGGUCUAUUCUUCUUAGAUUUAUUUCCUCUUCUUUUUAAUACACAAUAAUAGAUUGCACCAUGUAACAUCAUGUCUCUUUAACUUACUUUAGAAUACUAAAUGACAUUUGUAUUAAACUAUUUUUUUGUAUUCAAAGUUUUUGAAUGCCAAAUAUAUUGAAAUGUGUUUUAAUUUUUAUUGUAGAAAUACUUCUGAAAUAUUUUUACAUAUUUUACAAUAUAUGUAUGAACAAGCCCUUCUAAUAUAGGACAAUUUAGUUAAGUAUAGGACAUUAUCCUUAACUAAGCAAAAUAAAAUUGUCCUGUACCAAGAGUAUAUUUUCAAACUUACAACAGUUAGGAAACAGCAUUUCAUAGUUAUUGAACUUUAAAUGCAUGGUUGUCCCUCCUAUGUACCUCUAUAAUGAAGACUCUUCCAGUCAUGUCUAUUUGUGUCACAUAUUACACUUUAUAUAAGACAAAGAGGACAAAAAACUUAACACCUUACAAAAGUCUUUCACUUGGUGAAGAAGAACUCUAUUAGAAUCCUUAGUUUUUGGAGAUAACAUAAAGUGAAAAGACACUAUAAAGUAGAAAAAAUAUUUUAUUACAAAUAUGGGACUUGAUUCUAAUUAGAAAGUCAUUUGUUUUAUUUUCAUUCAUUUUUAAGUGAAUCCUUCAUACAUAAGUUUUUUCGAACAUAAAAUAUUUAAAAAAACCAGUUUCGAAUCAAACUUGGGGCAGAUUUUCAAGGAUACUAUUUAUCAUAAUUUAAGCAAUUGUAUUCAAUCAUUUUCCUCCUUUGCCAUCUACAAUCUCCGUUCCAGGUAUGACAUGGACAAAGCUGAAACUUCUCCAGUUUCUUCGCAUCGACCAAGUCGUUGAUUAAAAAGUCAUUGCUUUUUACUUUAAUCACUGUACACAAACUGUUCAUAGUGGCUUGGGCAAUACUAGAGGAUACUAGAGACCGAGGCAAACGAAUUGUGAGGGAGAGUGACACUAUUCGAUUGUAAGGUAGUGCUGACGAACAACGGCAGCCUGAUCUCAUUUCCAUCUUGAGAUUUAUCGGCAUGUAAUAUAUAAGUUUCUGGGUGGUGCAUAAAUAAUUUUUCAAAAUGAUAAAACUUAAAUAACCGGGAACUGCACCAUAGAUAAAGAACACGAUCACCAAUUCCAUUGCAAUCACCACUCUCAUUUCCCAACAGCAUACCACAUCCACGCCGAUAUUUAGCUCAUGCGCAAUUCAAUUACGUAUCAAUAUGACAUUCAAUGUUCCGGACUCCAAGAGCCCUGCCAUCUUCGGUCCAGUACCCAAGUCUGCCUUUGCCUCUCACUCGCCUGCAGCAAGUAUAUCGAACAAGCACACAAGCAACUCAACAAGUGCACGCUCCAACAUAAGAUACCUACCCCAAUAUCAACCCCGCUCUGGACACCCGGUGACUGCUCCGCCAAAACCAAAUCCCGCACUAUUCACUUCUUCUUGGCAGCGGCCUUAGUAACCUUCGCACCAGUUGGUUCCUUCUUCUCCACGGCCUUGAUAACACCUACGGCCACCGUCUGUCUCAUGUCACGCACGGCGAAACGUCCCAAUGGCGGGUAUUCCGCGAAAGUCUCCACAGUCAUGGGCUUGGUCGGAAUCAUCUUCACGAACCCUGCGUCUCCGUUCUUCAAAAACUUGGGCUCCUUCUCCAGCUCCUUACCCGAUCGCCUGUCCACCUUCGUCAAGAUCUCGGCAAACUUCACGGCAAUGUGAGAGGUGUGACAGUCCAGCACCGGCGCGUAACCGUUUCCGAUCUGUCCCGGGUGGUUCAUGAUGAUAACCUGGGCAGUGAAGUUGGCUGCUUCCUUCGCAGGGUCGUUCUUCGAGUCCGAAGCCACGUAUCCUCUCUUCAGGUCCUUCACCGCCACGUUCUUCACAUUGAACCCGACGUUGUCUCCGGGGUGAGCCUCAGGCAUCGACUCGUGGUGCAUCUCCACCGACUUCACCUCAGUCGUCAGUCCAGUGGGUGCAAAGCACACCAACAUACCCGGCCUGAUGAUUCCAGUCUCCACACGUCCCACUGGCACAGUUCCAAUACCUCCAAUCUUGUAGACAUCCUGAAGGGGCAACCGCAGGGGUUUGUCGGAUGGCCUCUUGGGCUCUGACACGUUGUCCAGGGCCUCGAGAAGGGUUGGGCCCUUGUACCAGUCCAAGUUCGUCGAUCGCUCGAUCAUGUUAUCACCCUCAAACCCUGAAAUGGGCACGAACGGAAUCUUGUCCGGGUUGUAACCGACCUUCUUGAGGUACGUCGACACCUCCUUGCUGAUCUCAUCGAAUCGAGCCUUGCUGUACUUCGGCGUGGUAGCGUCCAUCUGCCACACAUGGCAUACACAUCGUCAAUAAAAGGACAUCCUCAACCCAUGCGUGCCCUAUUCUCACUCCAAAACGGUUCUAGCUUUUCUAAGUUGGUGGUUAUAUACAAUGACAUAAGACAGUACAUAUGUCAGGCGGUCUAAUUCAUUGGUCCAAGUAACCAAAGUAGACCUUGUUCAUACAUCGGCGGUCGCAGUAUGAUUCAAAAUGCGGUACCGAGACGAACUCAAUGAAUGUACAUUUGAUAUGACUUACCUUGUUGCAGCAGCAGAUCAUCUGCUUCACUCCCAAGGUGAAAGCCAACAGUGCAUGCUCACGGGUCUGCCCAUCCUUGGAGAUACCAGCCUCGAAUCCUCCGGUGGUGGAGUCAAUGAUCAGCACUGCGCAGUCCGCCUGCGACGUUCCCGUAAUCAUGUUCUUGAUGAAAUCGCGAUGUCCGGGAGCGUCGAUCACAGUGCAGUAGUACUUCACGGUCUCGAACUUCCACAGCGCAAUAUCGAUCGUGAUACCACGCUCGCGCUCAGCCUUCAGCUUGUCCAGCACCCACGCGUACUUGAACGAACGCUUGUUCAUCUCAGCCGCUUCCUUCUCAAAGCGCUCGAUCACACGCUUGUCGAUCCCUCCUAGCUUGUAGAUCAGGUGGCCUGUGGUCGUAGACUUGCCGGAGUCGACAUGGCCGAUGACCACAAUGUUGAUGUGAACUUUCUCCUUACCCAUCUUCGAUUAUCUGCACAACCUUUCAAACUUGUGUAAGAUAUCCAGGCAGCACAGAAUCUCGGAAAUACGAAGUUCGAAGUACACAGCAAAGAAAAAUUGUAUCCAGAAAAUAGCUACCUUUCAGUCUCUCUGAUAAAGAUUAGGACGUGAAGACUACCUACUAACAGGGAAGGAAACGACAGCAGGUAUCAACCAUGAGAAACUCCAAGAACCCCAUCUCGCAUUGGGCAGCCGCGCCGGCUGACUGAAUGACAAAGAAGGUGAUCCACAAAAACCCUAAUAAAAGUGCACAAACAUGUUACUUCACACCGAAAGAGGCUCUCAAACAACCAGAUUUUUCAGCAGAAAAGAACCGCAUUGUUAUUGCAUACCUGGAAAACGAGGCAGAGGUUCCGAGCAGCGUAGGAAAAAACGACAGUGGCGACUAAUCUCGCAGGAGAGCUCUGGAGAGUAUGUCACGGGACGACAGAUUAGCGUGCGGCGCUCCCUCUUCAAGGGCUUACGCUGGUGGCUCCGCCCUCGAAUCGUCCAUCGAACGGCCCUGCUUGACAGUCCGCAUGGUUCACGGCGCGGUUAGACGCGCCGUUUGGGAGGCGUGCCUGGAGGCGGGGGCGAGGAAGCAACCCCCUGCCCUAAUGAGGACUCCCAUGCACAAGGGUGGCGGCUUCGUGAGCCCACGUUAUCAUGUUCUAAUUUCGAGGCCCAAACCGGAUUAAAUCUCUGUGGGUAUCUCCGACCAAAAGAAUUUGAUCCUCACUGUAGCUCCUCAGCGGUUCGUAUGCAUGAGUGUCAUGAACCCAAGAAUUUCUCACAAACUUUGCCUUGAGUGUGAUGCUCUUGUUGCCGUCUCGGAGUUAAUCAAGAGCGCAAGCUGUGACCUAGCUUACGUAGACUGCUAUUCAAUUGUGUACAUGCUGCUGAAAAACAAUCAUGUUCUUAAUUUUUAUAGAAAUGAAUAAUUUGCCAAAUUUUUCUGCGGCUACAGAAUUGGUGGUCACGGAACAAGCAGCGUCCAUGCUGAGCAAUGUAUUCAUCUGUGAUUUUUGACUGUGUUAUAUGACGUCCGCAUUCUGAAGCUACAAGCAGGAGUGAGUGUUGGAAUUGGGUAUUCAUGCGCAAAUGGGAAUUGGAUAGUAAGCACGUCUGGAAGCCAAGGGUUUAUCAUGACAGAAGUCUUUGCCGUCCACUGAACUAGUCUCAUGCCAUGUUCGUGAUGCCGGCACCAUAUUAUGGUGCAUGUUUUAUGUUGGUGAGUUUAUGUCACACAUUUUCAUGUAUCUCUAGGGAUGGAGGGAGAGUUGUGAUCGUGCGGUGAGAUAAUGGUGAUGAGCUUUCAGAGGCCGGAUAAUACAAGAGAAAUUGGGCACAGUUGCUCGUUGAGAACGACCUCCGCGAGGGUUUUAUUGAGGUAUCUGUUUUCCCAACCUCUACGUCCGUUUAUGAAAUUGGGCAUGAGUGAAGAUUAGUGGUGCGAGGGACUUCUGUGCUGCAUUUAGAAUUACAUCACGUACCAAAUAUUGUUCAAGUCAUUGUGCGAGACAUUCUUCACGAGUACAGUAAGUCCGUUGGAGACUCCGAGUUUCUUCCCAUCACUUUAGAAGUUCGUUAUGUUUCUUACCUUCAUGGGGCGGCGGAAGCUCCAUGGUCUAUGUGUUUUUUGGAAGUAUCAUGUGCGAUUCUCUGGGAACGCGCGCUACAAUUGAAACGCACACUAUUUUUGGUUGUUUGUUUGUUUGUUUUUCUCUUGCUUUAGAUUCACUUAGAAAUUGCCAAUAACCGAAUUCGCGAAUGCGCCAACUGAGUUAAAGUUCCCCCAGUAGAGGAUCCUGGAGCCUAGCAUCCCAAAUAUAUUUCCCUGUUCUCAGUCCUGAACCAUACCAACUCCAUUGUUAUCGCUACUCUUGUUUUAGCAGCAGGAAGUGGGAAUCGCUUGCUUUGGAGUGCGUAUAAUAAUACAGCAUUGCGGUGGUCAAAAAAUAAAGUACUCUUCUGCACCCUGUCAUUACUAUCUCUACGUAUUCGAUCAAGCUGUUCACGAGCUCGUCGACUAGAUUUGAAGAGUUUAUUGUUCUGGUGCGAGCCACGGUACGAAAUUAUCGCAUUACAAUUACUAAGUGACGGCUUCUACACAACGUAAUUCGGAGGCGGUUUGCAUUGGCACCCUGAAUCAUACUGUGGUGCUAUUAUCCUCAAUUUGCAUCUGAGUGCUGUGUCUGUGCACCAGGGCACGAAACGGUACUUGAGGAGACUUCGUCCAGUGUGUGCUCGGAAUGGCGCCAGAGUUGAGGUUGAGGAGCUUGGAGUGGUUCGCCUUAAGAAAAGAGAAGGGAGAGACAAUGGAGAGAAAUUGCCAGAAGAUCUCGGGCUGAGGUUGGAGAUCAAGGCGAAGGCUGCUGCUUUUAUUAGCAAUGCGCAAUCGGCGAAAGGAGGUGAAGGGCUGCUUGGACAAAUACUCGGUGUGGAUCUCGGGUUGUGAAGACUGGGUUGUCAGUUAGUGUGGGUGGUUAUGAGCCUCGGUCUUCGACUGUAAAAUUUUUUAUACUAUAACAAUUUCGUUUUGCACGAAAUGGCUGUGGUAAUGUCACAGUGCAUCGUUUUCUCCAUGCAUCAAGUCUUUUUUAAUCACCUACUGUCUGCCAACUCAAGCACUACAUUCUGAUACGAGUGUGUGAGUACGGGACCACUUUUUACACUGUGUACUUUGUCGCUGAGCAAGAUUUGUCUCAUAACUAGAAAAGCAGCGGACCUGUUUGAUGCACCUCAUCUCUUAAGCCGGUCGUUUUAUAAUUUUUCUGUGAAUGUAUGGAGAGCCUCCUCUUUUGCAGGCUGUCAUGUGGAAGACGGUUUGUGCAAUUUCAAUCGAGUAAAUUGAAAAUAACGUAGCAGCAGAUUUGAUGUUUGAGAACAAAACCACAAAUCUGUCAUCUCUGCUAACAUCAGCCUUGUAAAUGAAGAAAUGUUGAAGGAACGGGUCGGUUACAAAGGAGUUCGAAAUUCUGCUCAUGUUUUCGACAGUAAUGUUAGGUUGUGCCCCAUAACGGUACUCAUACAUUUGACGUGUUUCUCAUGUACUCGGCAAGUUAAAACUGCGAUGGCAUCUGAUAGUUUGGUGUAGAUCUAAACCAUGACAACAGAGCAUGAGGGAUCAGAUAUACGUUUCAUCUCUAUUUGAUUCGGUUCCUAGUGAUGCACGAUGUCUGCUUCGAGAACGAGGAUUGUGUUCUUGUUUGGCUAAGCUGCGUCACUGCAGAAAGCAGGCGAGUUUGUAUUUAGCAAGAUUUGUGAACAAGGAUAUGUGGAUAAUCUCAAUUCUCUAUACUACCGCAGAAAACUGCAAAUAGGAAAGAAAAGCGGUCAACCUCGAACAUGUCGGAACAUGCGGAACUGUGCAGUACUCAUGGUAAUUGGUUGGAUAUGAUGCAGAGGCAAUAACAGACGGGAACAGAUUGUCUCGCAAGCGACAUGACGCUUAUGCUGCCUUGGUCAAGAUCAUACAUUCUUUUUCACUGCUGGCCUGAUGUUGAGAGAUCCUACUUGAUACUGACAGAACCACGUGACAUAGGAACAUAGCGUCUUUGUUUGCGAGGUUUCAUUUUAAGAUGGUCCAAAGCUCCUGCUGGUUGGUACUAAGGUCUCCUAUGGAUGGGGCAAUGAUGGUUCUGGAUGUGCGUCAUGUGAAGUUUACAGUUGCGUGAUCUUCAAUCAUCGAUGCAUAGACUGUGUUUGACUACCCAAUCAUUCGAAAGUCUGUCCUUUCGAGGCUGUUGAGCACAAACAGAAAUCUUCGGACGAAAGUUUCUGCGCAUCCAAAUAUCGCUUGCUUCUACAUGUGACAAAUUAGAACCUUUGUAUGGAUGGGUUGAGUCAAGCUUUCAAAUGGAGCAGGGUUAAGAAAGUGCUGGUUUUGUAAUUAGUAGGCAGGACUCAGGUGUAAGUCAAGUAUUUGUGUCUUUCUAAUCCUUCAACAACCUCUUGGCGAUAUGACACAAAUGGUGUCUUGUUAAGUAGACUGAAGUACGGAUUAAGUUAUGUUAACGAUGUUGCUGUCAUCCACAGGCGCUGCUGCUGCGGGGCUACUUGUAAUCCACUGGUUCUCGUGCUCGAUUACUCCUCCCCAAACCUCUCGACCUUCAGCGGCUCCCCUGUCAAUGGCCUUCAAUGCCUGUGCUUCCCACCCUCGAAGAUUAUAACGACGAUUGAAUGAUGAUUUUAACAAACCUCAAAGUUGACGACAGCUCAGCGCCUGUUUCGUUUUUUUCUCUCUCUCUUUCUUUCUUUCUUUCUUUCUUUCUUUCUUAUCCUUUUUUUUUUUUUUUUUUUUUUUUUUUUUAAAUGGUGGCUCACUGGGUGUAUAUUGUGAUCAGGAUGCUUAAUCGAUUCUUACAAAUGAUUCACCCGCGAUCUAGUGGGCGUUUCCAUGACUAAGUUGCAAAGCACUCACAAGCCACAUAUCUGCUGAUGGUCGGUGAAGUCAUGGGAAGUUGAAGAUGCAUUCAGUUCUUCCAUCUAUGCGCUUCCAUGAACUUACUCACACCUAUUACAUGACUCUUUACAUAAAAAUACUAUUGAGUACUUCCGGUGUGCUCCGCAUUCUCAUAGUAAGUAUGAAAUGAAGAAACAAUCCGAUUUGCCAAGCGCCCUUCUGCUGUUCGGUGUGGACAGCGAAUUGGUGAUGACUUUGUACAACUCAAAUUGGAAAGAAGGUAAUAUCCGUUCCAAGACUUCGGUUUUAUCCGAACAUGAUUCCAAGCAUUACUCCUUGUGAUGGAAUGCCUCUCACUGUAACAAGAAGCAGCAACAGAAACGCUCCACCUUGAACAUGUCCGAAAAGCCCACGCCAUCAAAACCUAAUUUGGAGCCUCAAGCCCUACUUGUCCUUGCUCAAUGGUGGGUCCUUUCCUUUCGUCAGUUGUUGAUUUGUCUUUUUCUUCUUCUUUUCAAAGUGGUACUGAAGUGACGUGGUCGUUUGGUUUAUUCUUUACUUUUAAGUUAGCUGAUGACGCAGAACAAUACUUUGCUUUCCUCUUUCACCUCCUUUCCUGGUUGGGGCAUCCGUGGAAAAAAUAGUUUGUUAAGAAGCAUGUCCACCGCGUCCUCAGAGCUGUCCAAUCAACGGGUGUGACACAAAUCCGCCAACCUCACACCCAUGUGUGGGAGUUGAACUUGUCAUCCCCAUCCAGGCGAGGACUAUCAUGUCCAGUGGUUUUUUCCCCCACUGCACACCUAAAAUACCAUACAUCACACAUGCUUCGUAAUUUCCUGCCGACCAUUUCCUCACCAGUGUCUGCUUGUCACUGUUGCAUAAACGUGCCGCCCGAUUCCAACCAUCACACACGCACACAUACUCACAUGUAGGGGGAGAGAAAAACUUGUUCAGUACCCAACAACGGGUCAUCCUGACCUCCCAAGCGCCAGCGACCUCACAAUCGUCCAGCUGGUCCCAGACUUGGCCACCAAGCAAGCUCAGCGUUCGGCAUUGACAAGGUCUCAGUUUGUGCCACUGUAGAACCCGUCGCAUGCGUCCCUGCAGCCCAGGUCAGGGUCGUUAGAAAGCAAGUGCUGGGGGCGUCGGAGCGGCGGAGAAUAGUUCUCCUGGGCAUGCAAAUGAGGCAAGCAAUCAAGCUGAAUGUCCACCCAGAUUCCAGCCCAUACCUCCGCCAUCGCCAUCCUGCCACACAGAGAGGGCCACAGAGCUAGAAGCCAGAAACCAGGAGGGGGGAGGGAGGGGAACCUUAUCUCGAUCAUUUAUUUGUAAUGUAUGUAUGUAUGUAUGUUUCUAACUUUAGUUUACUGGAGUUUGGAAACUAGGGCUUGUUAUGUUAUUCUGCUUGAUUUUUAUGUACAGUUAUUUUUCUCUGAAAUCCUAUACCCAGGUACUCAACUUACAACGUGUUGAUUUUUUCCUCUCUAUGUGUAUAUGUAUGUGUUCGUGUAUUUUUUGGAAUACAUAUUCAACCUUAUUAUUGUUUAAAAAGUCUAGUGCAUAGAUUUUGAACUUCGUACUGUUGAUUUGUUUUGUUUUGUUUUUGUUUUUUCUUGGAAGUUGAUAACAGUUCAUGUGUUUUGCCCUUGUAUUGAUAUUUAAGUGGUGAUGGAAAGAGAUAGAGACAUAGAAUAACUAUUUUGAUAAAUUUAACGAAAAAAUAUUGGUUGGGACAAGUGGAGUAGGUGCCACGUUUCAAUGUACUGGAAGAGUUGGAAUUGAAUUGUUGUGCUCUGAUGGACUUGAACACAAUUCACCUCUCCUUGGAAUACAUAUAAUGUUUUUAAAAACAUGAGCAUCAUUUUUUAAGUAUUUUGUCCACAGUUCAAUGUUUUUAUUCCUUAAUUUAUUCUAUUUAGGAAAAAAAAUUGAAUUUUGUUUGAAAGUCCAAACAUGUUUUAUCAUAACGCAUUCAAUAAUACCAAUGACUUUGGCUUUUUUUAAUAUAAUUUUCUUUUCUUUUCUUAUUUUUAAAUUUAGAUUUAACUUGUAGAUGCAUUUGACUUGUGAGAAAUUAUAUAUAUAUAUAUAUAUAUAUAUAUAAUAAAUCCUAUGAUAUGAUCCCUCUUUAGAAUGCAAAAGAUCUUUUGAAGAAAAAGACUAGUAACUUAUUUUUGCUUUAAAAAAGAAAAAUGUAAUCAUGAAGAAUUUAUAUUAACUCCAAAUUGUGCAAUUCAUGUACACAAAACUAAUUGAUUGUGUAUACAACUAAUCAAUUUCAAACAAAAAAGAUAUCACAUCUCAUUAAUAAUGUUGGUUUUUAUUAUAUUCCAUGUAAGUUGUUUAAUUAUAUAUCCCCUAAAUACCUAGUCAUUAGAUGUGUAUUAUUUGAAAUGUAUUAUUUUAGUUUUUCCAAUGUUGUUAAUGUUUUACAUGGCAAGUAUGAGAAUUGGUAUGUGACACAUUCAAGAUUAGGGUGUAAUCCCAUUAUGGACUUAGGUUUGUGUUACGAGAGGGUUUAGGAUCUCACAAUGAUUUUGUGAAAGUAUAUGGUUUGUGGCAUAUGCAAAUGGGAGUUGUGGGUGUGUGGAUUAGUGGCGGCAGAGAUGGUGCAACGUGUUUGGAUAGAUGUUGUGGUGGAUUGUUUGCAUGGAUCUUAUGAAGAUAGUUUGUGGCAAUUGAUGAGCAAUGUAUGAAAUUAAGAAGCUCCAAUAACAAGAUGUUUUGGAUGGACAAGACAAUGGUGUUCAAGUUGUGUUGAAUAUGAAGUUACUUCGGAAGAAACUUGUGAUACAAUUCAAAAGAUUACAUUACCAUCUAAUUAAAGAGAUAGAGUACAAAGAAAUAAGAAACUAUGAGUAUGACAUAAAAUGUUGUAGCCAGAGACUACAAAAGAUAUCAUGUGCUAGAGAUAGUCAGGAUCAUAUCCAUGUCUAAUUACUUCCACAAAGUUCAAAUCCAUAAGUAGAAAGGAGUACUUCCAACUACCAAAAUGAACCUUCUUUAUUAUUCAUAUCCUCUAACUAAUGCUCAAACUAAAUCAUUCAGCAUAGAGUUCUUAUCAUUUCUUAUAAAGAACUAAAAUUUCUAUUACAAUAGAACUAUAGUGCCUCAUUUGCUACAAAUCAAGUCAAUCUCAUUCACUCAACCAAUUAAACUAGUUCCAUAGUCCAAGAAACAAAGAAAUUGUGACAUGUAAGAACAAAAUCCUAUUAGUAAACUCAUGCCAUGUGCCAAAUGUGUUCAAAAUCAAUUUUGGUUAUAUUAAUGAAGUUCUUUGUAGUAGUGGUUAUAUAUUGAAUUAAUUGGUAUACAAAUAAAAACAUAUUGAGUGAAUAUUAUGAUUUUUUUUGGAAUUAGUGGACAAAUUAAAUUACUUACCGUUAUAAUUAUAAUAAUACUAUUAUUGCUAAAAAUAUUGAGUUGUGAAAUGAUCACAAGUAUUUUAAGAUUGCUUAAUGUUGCAAAAAUCAAGAAAAUUAAUGGUGUUUUUGUAAAUUGUAGAUAUUGCAAAUGUAUCAUAUAUCAUUUAGCAUUAAAAUCUAUAACAAAAGAAAAAAAAUCAUUAAAAAUAAUAAUUAUAUCAAUCCAAUUAUCUAAUUCUUUGCACCCAUUUAUAGCAAGUUGUUAAAUUAUGGUUAGAUAAUGGAUAUCAAAGGAUUAUCAGUUACAAUUGUAUUAAUGAUAAUUUGAAUAAGUAAAGAUAUAAAUCUUUUUAUAUUUACUAGCUAAUAUAUUUAAUAAUAUAAAAUACUGUUUUAUUAUAUUUUAAAUUUAAAAAACUAUUCAGUUGUAUUUGUAUUUUUUGAUGUUAAUAUAUAUAUAUAUAUAUAUAUAUAUAUAUAUAUUUCUAGGGCUGAUACUUUUAUUUUUUAUUAUCUAUUUUAUUAUACAUUAAAAUGAAAAAAUUUAGCUUUUUAAAAAUACUUUGAAUUUCUUUCAAUUUUAAAUGCUUCAAAUUCUACUUGUGACUUGCAUUCAUCAUUUUGAAACAAGUAAUAAUCAGUUCACAAUAAUUAUGUUACUUAAUUUAAUUAUGAUUUAUACAUUGUACUAUAAAAUAGAAAGAAAGAAAAAAAAUCAAAAUUAUUUAAAUGUAAAUUAAUAAUUUUAUAGAAUUUUUUACUAAAAUAAUUUUAAAAUGGCUAAAAUAAAUACUUGGAUAAAUUUAUAAAUUUAAUUCAAUACUUAUUGGGUAAUGAUUUAGUUUUCUUUCAUUUGUUUAGAAUAUAUGAAAAUAUAUUUGCCAAUAAUUCAUCAUGUUUACAUCAAUAAAUCAUAAAUAAUUGAGUAUAUAUAUAUAUAUAUAUAUAUAUAUAUAUAAUUUUAAAAAUUCAAAUAUAAGACCUUUUUAAUUUUGAUAAAUUAAAAAUAAAAUAUAUUAGUAUCUUUGCCAUGAAUUACAAAUGAUUCUAUUGUUAUGUAUAUAUUCUCUUUCUUUUCUUUUCUUUUUAUAGUUUUUAUAGUUUAGUUUAGUUUAGUUUUUUUUUUUUAAUCAACAAUUCUUUAUGAGUGGUCAAAUUUUGAUUUAGCAACUAUAAAUUAUACUUUUACAGCUUUUUUGUAGCCAAGGGCACAGAUUUCCAGUAUAUAUAUAUAUAUAUAUAUAUAAUGAAAAUAUAUGUUUUUAUUAUUACUACUAUUUGACUAGUUGAUACAAGUGGUUAUAUAACCAUUUGAGAAGCUAUUAAUACUUGGCAUAUUUAUUCUUAAUAAUAUCAUAUUAUAUUAUUUAAUAAAAAUAUAAAUAUUAUUUUCUUGAUUUUAUGAAAAAAUAUUUGGUUUUCAAAUGUUCACAUUUUGAUGCACUAUGAGCUAAUAAUUAUAAAGUAAAUAUUCUUAUUUUAUGUAUUGUGCUCAUAAUUUGAUCAAAAAUUUGCAUUCAUUCCUAAUUCUAUUAAAUGAUCAAAUACUUAAUGAAUUACUUGAUACAAAAAUAGUACUAAAUAUCAUGUGAGAAAAAAGAGAUUAUUGUGUGUUUAUCAAUACUUCUACACCAUGCUAAGUAUACAAGUGUUUAUCAAAACACAUGCAAUAUCAAUUAUAAAGAAAGAAAAUAAUACAAAUACACAACUUGGAUUUACAUAUGUGUGUAUGUAUGUGUGUGUAUAUAUAUAUAUAUAUAUAUAUAUAUAUAAUGGAAUGUUAAAUAGACCCAAGUUUUUAUUAAAUCAACCUAUCCAUGAUGAAUGUGGUUGGUUUUUAUUGGUUUUUUUAUCUAGUGGUGAAAUUAAUCUAGAGGUCAUUUGUUUUCAUGAUAGUUAGGACAGAUGGAUCAUUUUGGUAAAAGCGUGGGUCUAUUUAACAUUCUCCUAUAUUUAUGCCUACCCAAUUUAUUCCAUAACAUUUAUGCACAACCUAUUUAAUCCAAUGAUAAGAAAAUUCAGAAUAGAAUCGAGAAAGUAAAAGUGACAAAACAUUAAGCACGUGGUAAGAACUCAAAAAGUAAAAGUGGACCAAAAACAUUAAUCGCAUAUCGAGGGGACAUGACAGCUGACACGUGGCGGUGCGGUUUCGCGGGGUGCCUAACUGGGCAGGUGUCGUCCCGACCGCGCGGUUCGCACCGUUUGGAUCGCCGAUCUUGUGGUAGUUAAGCGCGGUUGGCAAUAAAAGGGAUGCCCGUGUGGAAGGGCCUCUACAAGAGGAGUGUUUGUGCAGCGAAAGGAUCCUCCUCCUCCUUCAGCCUCUCGCAGGUUGGAAUUCAGCUGUCCAGGCCCUCGUCCUUCACUUCUCCUCCUCCGCACCCUCUCGCCACCAUCACCGGGUAUGCAUGCUCUUGUUCUACUACUCUUGGGUCUCUUUUCAUCCUUCUUUCCAACACACCCCAAUUCACAGUGUUCUGUUAUUUUGAUCUAGCACCCGGUCAACCACUGGUAGAAGGCUUUUUGGUGAUUCGUGGUGUGAAGGGGGUGCUUGAUGGCUAAUUUCCGUUUCGGAUCCUUCGUUUAGUUUGCAAGGAUUAGCAUCAGAAAUGUUUUGGUACUGAGUUCUAGGGUUUUGAUCUAAUUGCUUAUUGUGUUUUGACUCGUAGUAAGUGACUUGGUGUUUCGAGCUUUUCCUUAAUUUUAAGAAUCUGUGUUCUAAGAGUGACAACCGCUACGAGAAGCGUGUGAUUUAUACCUUAAACUCGAAGAGUUUUUGCAGGUAAUCGAAGAUGGGUAAGGAGAAGGUUCACAUCAACAUUGUGGUCAUCGGCCAUGUCGACUCCGGCAAGUCUACGACCACAGGCCACCUGAUCUACAAGCUGGGAGGGAUCGACAAGCGUGUGAUCGAGCGCUUUGAGAAGGAGGCGGCUGAGAUGAACAAGCGUUCGUUCAAGUACGCGUGGGUGCUGGACAAGCUGAAGGCUGAGCGCGAGCGUGGUAUCACGAUCGAUAUUGCGCUGUGGAAGUUCGAGACCGUGAAGUACUACUGCACUGUGAUCGACGCUCCCGGACAUCGCGAUUUCAUCAAGAACAUGAUUACGGGAACGUCGCAGGCGGACUGCGCAGUGCUGAUCAUCGACUCCACCACCGGAGGAUUCGAGGCUGGUAUCUCCAAGGAUGGGCAGACCCGUGAGCACGCACUGUUGGCUUUCACCUUGGGAGUGAAGCAGAUGAUCUGCUGCUGUAACAAGGUGGGGGGAGUUUGAGAUUGUGUGGAGGCACGUGAUAUGUUGAUGUUUCUUUUUUAUGCAGCGUAAGGGUGUUAGAAAUCGAUUGAGGGAUUGAACAUGUGUUUGGGUGACGAGCGAUGUGGGGUGGAGUGGUUCGGUGGAAUGACAGCCUUGGUGGUGGCAGAUGGACGCGACGACGCCGAAGUAUAGCAAGGCUCGAUUCGAUGAGAUCAGCAAGGAGGUGUCGACGUACCUCAAGAAGGUGGGGUACAACCCGGACAAGAUUCCGUUCGUGCCCAUUUCAGGGUUCGAGGGUGACAACAUGAUCGAGCGAUCGACGAACUUGGAAUGGUACAAGGGUCCGACGCUUCUGGAGGCCCUGGACAACGUGUCAGAGCCGAAGAGGCCAUCUGACAAGCCCCUGCGGUUGCCCCUCCAGGAUGUCUACAAGAUCGGAGGUAUUGGAACUGUGCCAGUGGGACGUGUGGAGACUGGAAUCAUCAAGCCGGGUAUGUUAGUUACCUUCGCACCCACUGGACUGACGACUGAGGUGAAGUCGGUGGAGAUGCACCACGAGUCGUUGUUGGAGGCGCACCCCGGAGACAACGUCGGGUUCAAUGUGAAGAACGUGGCUGUGAAGGACCUGAAGAGAGGAUACGUGGCUUCGGACUCGAAGAACGAUCCUGCAAAGGAGGCCGCCAACUUCACUGCCCAGGUUAUCAUCAUGAACCACCCGGGACAGAUCGGAAACGGUUACGCGCCGGUGCUGGACUGUCACACUUCUCACAUUGCCGUGAAGUUUGCCGAGAUCUUGACGAAGGUGGACAGGCGAUCGGGUAAGGAGCUGGAGAAGGAGCCCAAGUUUUUGAAGAACGGAGACGCAGGAUUCGUGAAGAUGGUACCGACAAAGGCAAUGACUGUGGAGACUUUUGCACAGUACCCACCAUUGGGACGCUUCGCGGUUAGGGACAUGAGGCAGACGGUGGCUGUGGGUGUUAUCAAGGCGGUAGAGAAGAAAGAACCGUCUGGAGCGAAGGUUACUAAGGCCGCUGCCAAGAAGAAGUGAAUAUUGCUGGAGACGAGCGGGGUGAAGCAGUUAGGGGCUGACCGGGUCAGGGUUGGGUUUGGUGUUGCGGCAUUGUUUUGGAGGGUGCGGUUAUUGUUUUGCCUGUGUGCUUGUUCAAUAUACUUGCUGCAGGCGAGGGAGAAGCAGAGGCAGACUUGGGUACUGGACAGAAGAUGGCAGGGCUCGUCGGAUCCGCGACAGUGAAUGUUAUAUUUAUACGUGAAUAAAGUACUUUAUGUGGCCUCGACAUUGGGGUGGACAUAAAGCUAGUGAUGGUGUCUUUGGAAAGGACGUUGUGCUGGUGGUAUGGUUAGUGUUAUAUGUAUGUGAGGGUGCAACGAAGCCAUUACGUCAAGGAGAAAUUUUGAAUUCUCGUCUGAGCUGUUUAAGUGCACUUCACAUGGAUUUGGGAAGGGCAACAAGUUAUUCGGAUUACAUAAUGUGAACUGGAAUUUCUAGUUUUGCACUUUAUAACAAGUGUUACAAAGCAUGUUGAAUUGAUGUGUAUUAGAAUAUCCAUUCUUUGGAUUAUUUUAUAAUUCUUGCUGCAAUGCCUUAACAAUGUGUCAAUAUAGGUGAUGAGUUGAUACCAUUUGUUACCGGAACGUGGCGUCGCUUUGAACAUUCAGAAGAAUUUUGGUUGCUGGUAAUGUGGCUCAGAACCUGCGAGAUAAUAUUUGGAUUUACUUUCCGGUUGAAUGCGUGCAAACAUGUUGCAUAAGUAAUGUUUGUAGUUAUCAUCUUAUGUACGGACCCAUCGUUUUGUGAUAAGUAGCAUAUUAUAUACAAUCUGUCUUGUCAUUUUAUCUGAAGAUGCAACAAUCCUUGUCAAUCUAAAAGCACUCAGCUUAUAUUAAUAUCAAUUUUCAGUUUACAGACAUUGCAUAGAAUGAAAAUUUCAUUUCAAGAGGAGCUCAAUUUCCUCACAUUCUGUUUACUGUUUGAGAUAUGGAGGAUUCAAUGCAAUGGGAAAAGCCCAGCAAUGCAUUAUUCAUCAAUAGUGGCUUAAUUUGUAAGCAGUCUGCUGACACAGAUAUCAACAGUGGAGAAAUUAGAUGUGAACGCAGCUACGUUUUAUAUUUUUUUGUCUUAUGUACAGAUAAGAAUUGAAUCUGCUACUUCGCCCUCAUGACACAUCAUUGGCAUAAGAGAUGUACUAUCAUUCUAAAACCUUUCUCUAGUUAUUACAUUCCACAUCUGGUUAAAUCCCUGCAACUCCUCACUGACAAUCGUUACCUAGAAUAGAAAGGACACAAUUCUGUUGUGUCUCUAUCAGUCACAGGGAUCAGGGUAGUAAUUAUAGGAGGUUGCGACUGAUCCCUGGCACAUUUUAGUAGCCCAAAAUACUCUUUGGGAGUUUCACUAAAGCUUCAACAUCUGCAGGUUCACCUGAAAACUUCCGAGCAAAUAAAAAGCAGGGUGAACUAGGUCGUCCGUUGUAUAUACACGUUUGCAUGGUGUGAUUUAAGUCGUCAGACGAGUCCAUAUAUUGCCCAUCCCUGUUUUCUGUCCUGUUCUGAAUCUUCCGGAACAGCUCGAGGUUUAUAUGCGAGACAUUGUGCUUCAAAGGGGAGUCCCCGUGUUUGGGAUUGGACCAGUCUGCGUAAGUGACUGACCGAUUGGCGAUUCCCUGCACGCGCUCCAAGUGCACAAAUUAAUCAUGCUCCUCAUCUGCCUUGAUGUUAAAAUUAUGAAUCAAGACAUGUAAAUUCCAAAUUUCUUAUUGAACGAAUUACUACACAUUGGUCUACUCCUAUGAAAUUUUUUGUAGAAAAAAUUGAUUGUACACACUAACCCAGAAAGAUUUGCACCAGCGUAGGUCAAAUUCCUUCUGGUGACUUGAGCCUGAUAUAAACCUCCAGGCCAUGUUGAGUUUGCUAAUUUUGAUUGUUUACACAAUGCACACCCAAUUAUAAAUUGACAGUUAUUCAUGUAGAAAGUGAUCAGAAAGAGCCAAGAGAUAGAUCGAGGGCUCCCCACUAAGACAUUGUGGCAAUCAAGCAGUCGCCUUGAAAGCAAAUUCUAAUUCCACGCGGUAUAACCUUUGCGAAGUACCAAACUCGUCACCACAUGCUUCCCAAAGCAAUGUUGCCGCUACGUACGGUAAAUUCCUUCAGUUUAGCAUACGAAUCUAGCAAUCUCUAAGGCGAAAGAGAUAUCAACUGAAAGCAACGUCAUCGCCGACAUAUAAACCUCAUGACAUUCGCAACUGCUGACUCAUCCAGCACUGAAGUUAUGUGCUGGAUUGUACUUAUGAUAUUUAGGGCUAUAUCUGGAAGUGCAAGCUACUACUAGGACAAUUUUGUCACAUGAAGUUCUGAUGCUCAAGUGCAGAACCAUGUUAGGACGAAUCAUGUAAUUCGAGCACCAUAUCUACAAGAACACACCAUUCUCCUGAAAGUAAUUCCAACGUGAAUGCGGCUUCUAUUUACUACGAUCUGUGGCUAUAUCCAGACUUAACCCAAUCCCCACUUACUACACUCUGACAAAUUCAAGUACUUCUCUCAUCACAUCGCGUGGACUCUGUUCCCCUUCUUAUUGCAGACUCGGACUUUCAUUCAUAUUGAUCCUUUAUCAUUAACUGAAAUGAAUUAGACAUGAAGUGGUUGGAAGCAAUUCAGAGACUGUAAAAAAUACAUCAAAUCACAGCAUGAGGCAUUCAGAUUUGUAAUUCCCUCACCUUGGGAUCCAAGAUAUGGAGCAGAGUCUGUACAUACUCCUCAUCAAGGACGCAGUCGUCACGGCAAUCGGCUUUGAAUUUGCGGUAAAAUGUGACAUCACCGACCACCAUUCCGGCAUGGCGGCGGUGCAUGGACACCCAUAGCUCACCCUUGUGAAGCUGCUCCAAUUUGAACAGGGGCUCCGUGUGCCACCGCUUGAACCUACAACAAUUCAAUCAAGGCAAAAACUCAGUUACGUGGAGAGAUCAGUAAAAUCAAACUCCAAUGCAUUCUAAAUGAGAUUCUUUCAAGCUGAGGCUUAUGGAAUGAUCGGAUCAAAGAGAUCAACCUCUUCAGUGGAGAAUAGGAUUCGACGAAGCUCGUGGUGGAGUUCAUGAAAUAGUCGUAAACGUAAGGAAAGCUCCGAACUGGCAUGCACGCCUCAGAGACUAGCAUGAACCACAUAUUAGCUCUGCCUGUGUCCAACAAGGCAAAUGCCAGCAAUCUGCGGACAACGUCUACAAGAGUAAUAUCGAAGCGCUUUACUUCCUUGGUUGAAAUGGAUCUGUUGUGGAAGACGGACGAGUUCGGAAACUGGUUAACCCACCAGCUCGCGUGAGUAUAUAUAGAGUAGGAAUCAUUAUCCGCUCCCGCAAAGAAUCGCUCCCACAGAGGCUCAAGUGGGAUCUCCUUCCGAAGGAUGAAUAGGAAUGCAAUUUUGGGUUUUCCAUCUGGUAGAGGAUUGGUCGCAGCGUCUUGAGCAGCAUGGAGAAGCUCCGAAUCCUCAACCGAUACUUUGAAAUACUUGUCGACAUCUAAAUCAUGAGUGCUGCUUCCUGGUUUCACGUAAUCUUUGCAGGGGAGGUAAGAAUUGGGAAACGUCGAUUCUGGUAACCUAGAAGUGGGGUCAGUCGACACAACCCUGGGGUGAGUACAAUUUUGACAAUCCGCUGAGGCUUGUGGGGAGAGCCGACCGAUAGUGAAUUCGGCGGGAAUGGGACUCGGCUGCGAGUCGAUCAAGAACUUGAAAAACAUGAAGGAGCCUAGUAUUAGGACCACAAUGCCCCCCCGGGUGAGCCACACAUCUUGCUGGGACUUCAGAAACCCCAGACGGCCGGAGUUUGAUGGACUAAGCACGUUUGUCAUCGUCGACGAAUACACUCCUCGUCUCGGGAGGAUCUGGACGGGCAAAAUUUCUCUAGACACUACGCAUCUUACACUUCAUAUGAAGCUAGAAAAAGUUCCUGCAUCGACAAAAACAUAUAAAGAAGUAGGCAGCCUCACAAUUUAUUCUCCUCCCAGAACGGACUCAACUGAGUGAAAUUCCAUGAAGACUCACGAUACAACCCAUUCAUUGUCCGAGCUUCGAAGAAGUAGAAAGGUCCUGGCCCUCGUUUUUUUACGCAGGCGAAGGGCAAAAUUCAGAGAAAGAUAGGAGGGCAACAAGAAUUAGAGGAACGAAGAGGAAAACAUCGCUCGAAAGUAGUACUUCCAGUAGUCAUAUGAUUUCAGAUCGCAUCAGAAAGUGAUCACAAACUGGGUUGAUAGCUUGGCCAGUUGUAAUGCUGACAAUCAAACAGAUUUGAAUUGAAGAGUGUCAGUCACUCCGACUACAUGGACUGCGUUUGCCGCACCCUACCGCUUGUCAACGCAAGCAGUCCUCUACAGCUCAUUUUUGCAAAGCUCAUCCUGGAAACAAUCCAACCACUUGAUAUAACCUACGCUUAAGAGACAGGGAUCCAGAUACCGCGUUACAUCGAAAAAGGGUAGGAAUAUAAAUCUCAUUUACAACAGUGACUAGCACUGAUUGCAGACCAAGGCGACUUCGACCACAAGCCUUUGUCCAGUGCACCAACAAAGUGUCCCGUGACAUGUACAGACUGGACGGGUUCUCACAGGAUGAUACGGAAAACAGCUUCCUCAGCCUCCCUCAGAUGAGCCACCUUCAGAAGUGAAGUGAUUUGCGUAAUCUAGGAAAUGCUCCAUGCUUGAGAGAAAGUUCUCAUUAUGAUCCCAGAAAGAAUUUCUUUUGAAAAAUUCGUGUGACAAAUGGCGUACUACUCAGUUGACCGUCAAAAGCCACGCAGAUGACUGCCAAAUCAUUACCACACGAAUUGAAAACUCUCAAACGAGCGGUGUUGCAGGCAGUUGCAGAACACCACGGGCUGUGGGCACCCACCAGCUCGAUGAUCACACUGCAUCGACCAGACACUAGCUCUACGGACAAAAGAAAACCCAGACCUCCUGGUGCACCUCGAACGACACAAGCCAAAGUCAGGAUUCUCCCUCAAUAAUUCUUCCUUCCAUUAGCUUUAGAAGGCCACGACCAAGACAGGCAGACACGAGAAGGGCUAUCGUGGCGGUAAUAAAACCAAAAGUGUCUGGUGCCGAAGGAAAAAAACAAAACUCUUUGAGAGUGAUGACGUGAGCUGAUGCAUCUAAACAUUUGCACUCUACAUCUGCGGUCCAAAAAGCAGCAGUCAUUCUUUCCCCGUGUGCAUGGGACGCUGACCUAAAUAUAUAAAAAAUAAAAAACCACGGCUUGCAGGUUAUCGGUCCUUUACGCAUUGUUUGGCUCAUGUCCCACCCGCUUUGUUCUCUCGUCCCCAGCUGCGACGUCAUCAACCUAGUAGUGGACAGACCCUGUGGUGACCCAGUCCCAGCGAUGACCAGCUCAUGGUGAGCGGCCAAGUCAAGGUGAGUGUGCCUAUGUGUGCCUUAAAAAUACGGUGAUUAGAACUGACUUGACUCCUGCCCUCGGCCUCAAACUGCGAGGCACUUGUCACUAGGCAUCCUCAAACUCACCACCAUUGUCCUGUUCUUGUCCUACACACCCACACACUCACUCACUCACACACCCACACACUCACUCACACACCCACACACACACUCACCCCCACAAACACACACAUACACAUAUACACUGGGUGUUGUGGAUGGUCAGCUGUAGACUCACGGAUCCAACUUCAUAGCGAUCUAGGCGCAGCAUUACCUAAGGUGGGUACUCUUCUGCUUCUUCGACGCAAGAUGAGGAUGCAGAUCUGAGCACUGAGGCGGCGAUUGAAACGAGACGUUGUGGAGAAACGCACAACGGCGAAGCUUGUGCUUGCAAAGGCAACAGGGCUGUGGCGGUGGCACCAGGAGCUGCGUGUUUGUGGUCUGCAGACGAAUGUGAUGCUUUCUUACAUGGGUGGUUUUGUAUAGACCUUGUGGUUGAGUGCGUAAAAUAUACUAAACAAAUCAACAACAUGCAAUGUCUCUAUGACUGUGUGUGGAAAUGUAUGUGCAUAUAUAUAUAUAUAUAUAUAUACACACAUGGUGAGUAGAAUUUUUUACCAGUGUUUACUUUUAAUACUUCUAACAAAAGAGUUGGAAGAUUUAUUUUUAUUUUUUUGGAGCAGUUUAGUGCUGCAAUGAUCUUGAUGAAUAUAACCUGAUGCACUGUAAAGUGCAACUGCAGUUUAUGCCACUCAAAUAAGCAAAAAAUAGAAACAGAAAUAAAUAAACAAACAAACAAAAAGGUAUUACGUUUUGUGUAAACUAAUUGAAUGUUUAAGAACAAUAUUAGUUUAAAGCACAGCACUCCAUAAAUAAAUAUCACAUAAAAUUAAUACAGUAAGGAAUAAUAUAAUUAUCUGAAAAAUGUAUAUUUCUUGAUACCCAACAAAAGAAUAGUGUAGAUCAAAUUGUUUUUAGUUUAUUAAACUUUUUAGAACACAUUUUAUGCUAAAUAAGAACAUUUUUAUCUUUGUAUGUAUGUAUGCAUGCAAUAUAUUUUACAUGAGAAAUGUCAAUACUAACGAUUAAUCAAUAAACUUUUAAAAAUUAUUGUUUAAUUAAAGUAGGAUACUUUUGUCAUUUUCAAUGCCCAUUGUUGUUUCAUAAAGCAAAUUGUGGUUGGACAAUCUUCAUCCCUUACAGUGUGAUUUUGUAAAUAAUAUAAGAUGCAUCUCAAAUGCACCACUAAGAUUAGCUAAUAAAUAAAACUAAAAUAUUCUUUUGAUUUUGCAUUACUUUGCUUUGGUUGAAUCAAACAAUUCUCAAUUCCAAUUCUUGGACUUGUUUGCUUGACAUUAUAUGGAUGUUUAUCGCUCAAUUACAAAACCCAAUAUUUUAUUUAUUUUACGUGAAUGGUUCAAAAUGAUUCCACACGGGCUACUGAUUAGCUCUCAAAGAAGCAAAGACUCCUUUUGCAGGACCUGUUGCAUUGUUUACUCUAAUAAAGGUGGUUAAUGAACAAUAUUUUCUACCAAAUUUGUGAAAAAUAAUAAUUGAAAGAGGUUAUUUUAAUAUGUAUAAAUUAUUGGCUUCACCAACCUUCUAAAUAUUUGUUUAAAUCCACAAAAAAAUGAAAUCGUUGUAGGCAUCUAUAAUGAUUUGCAUAUAGAAAUUUGAUGCGAUUGUAGAAUGAGAUGAGAUUCUCUCAAGAGUGAAACCGUAUGGAAAUUGUGAUAGUUUCAGGUUUAAAUAUUUUUAUGAUAUUGUAAGAACACAGGGCGUCGAAAUUGCUUGAAACCAGUCAUGUUCAAACUUAGUAGAGGACAAUGGUAUUAACUCCUUUGAUUCUCCAAUUUAAAGCAUUUGUUUCUGUUAAAAUUUGAAUGCUUCAAAGAUAGAUUUUCAUACACUUUAGGCCUACCAUCCAAAAACAACUAUAAUUCUAAUAAAUAACUAAACACAGAUAAACAGAGAAAUCAAUUUGAAAUCAAAAUCAAAUUUUCUAAACAAAAUUUUAUUUGUGUAAUGAGAAGAUACUAGAAUGAAACAUUUAUGGAGCGUUUAGAAUGGUACGCUGUGAUUCGUUAAUAAAGGAGCAAGUUGAUUCUGUUCAGUAUAUAAAAGUACACUACAGUAAAUAAAUAAACUAUCUCAUUCCCUCUAUAUUUGAUUAUUUAUUUAUAGUUAUGCAUCUGUGCGUAUAUAAAUAUAUAUAUAUAUAUAUAUAUAUAACUAUUCUUUGAGUGGCUUUGAAUCAUUUGAAGAAAAAUUUAGUCUCUGCAUGGUAUACUUUAUAGAUACAUAUAUAUAUAUAUAUAUAUAUAUAUACAUACUUGCAUGGAUGCAUGCAGAAUCUCCUGUAAAUUUGAUUUAAUAAAAAAUUAAAUCUUCAAAUAUCUUGAAUUAAAUUUUGUACGUUGUAUUUUCUCUACGAAUUAAAGUCACUCACAUAUUAUGAUUUUAUAUCCAAUUUUUUAAAUAUUGUGAGUUGUUACCAUAUUAUAUUAAUAUCAAAACCUGCACACAAUUCAAGUCAUCUAUUUUAAAUUUACAUUCACAUUCAAAAUACAGGUUGCACUGUUUCUUUGUAUUGACAUGGUUUUGUAUUAUAUUUCGUUCAUUAUUCUUGGUACCAUAUUUAUUUUCUUAGUCGUCCUUGAAACCGUAACCUUCAAAUAAGUUACUUUAUUUAGUAUUACAUCAUCGAUUUUCGCUUUUAGAUGGGGUUAAGAUCCAAAAGCCCACUUUAAAAGAUCCUGGUAUUAAAAUCUUGUGAAGAUCUGUUUCUUAGUGAAGAAAUUAUCCUGAAAAAAAGAUCUGGUCUUUGAAGUAAUAAAAUGUGAGAAUAGGCAAUCAAGUGGGUGGAAGAUAAACUAUUUUGAUUCAAAAAUCUUUCACAUUCUAUCUCAAUUUUAAGAAGUUUGAUGCUGUAAAUUCUUUUGAAGAUUUUGAGUGAUAAUAUGAAGCAGUCUUUCACAAAGCAUCUUAACUUUUUGUGGAUUACCACCUCCUGAAGUGGAACUAUGUGUGCAAAACUAGUCAUGCUAUGUGAGAGGAAUACAAAUUUCGCCUCAUCUCUUCCAUUUGUUACCUCCUGCUAGAUUUCCUUAAUAAAAAACAAGUUUAAAUAAAGAUAUUUUCGAUAUCAACAAUUUCAAACUUAGAAUACUGCUCUCCUAGACAUAGAGACAACGUAUAUAAACAGUUUUUAUUUACGUUCUUUAAAUAAUAUUCAUUUGUUCUGCUUCCAAAUCCCUCAGAAAGAACCCUCUCCCAUCUUACCAACUUCUUUCCUUAAAUGUUAGGCCACCGUUCAGGCCACUUUUUCGGAGCUCCUUGCGCCAUGAAUUACUCAUACGGCUUGUUGUAAAAUUGUGAAACAACUAGUUCUAGAUAGUUCUGGGUAAGUGGUCACAGUUUUGCAAUUGUACCCUAUUCUACUUAAGCCCCAGAACCUGUGCAACGGUAACAGAUUUGACAUGUCUCCUCAGAAUUAGUCUGUUUUGAAGCAUCCAAUAACUGUUAACGUAUGAUCAUAGUAGCCUUCCAAUCAAACAACACCUUUGCAAACGUUACCAAUCACACCUUCCCAUUCAGGUUUCAUAUGAUAUUUACAGGAUUCACCACGGGUAUUCAACCCACCAUUUCACAUCUAGAGCCUACAACUUUCAUUGCUAGAACGUUUUGUCUGAAUUUUAAUCCAAUUUGAAGACAUGCCGCAAAAAUACCCAAAAGUUCCACCUUCGUUGUGGGGUAUCGACAUGCCCUUAGUGGUCACGUAUCUUACAUUGACCAAACCUUUGCAUUCCCCACUUCCACAAACAGGGUACACAGAACAGUCCGAUGACUAAAAGUAGGAAAAAUAUAAGAUAGUUAACCCAUCCAUUCACAGAUCCUAAGAUUUUAAAUUCACAAGUACUACAUACACUAUCAUGGCCUACCAAUAGGCGUAACAUGCGAAGGUUACCACUGUAAACGAAAGAGGAGCCACUUCAGAAAACCUUUUAAUCAGUCACCACCGACUCUGGAUGCUAAUUAUUGCUCGAGGCAAAAAUUCAGUACACAAGAACUCAUCACACAGAACAUACAGCCUGCAAACUGAAACUCAUCCGCAAGUGUGACGGCCAUGAGGUAAGUCACUGAGAAUAUAGGGAAACACAACACACGCACACACACAUGAACACAAACAUGGGUGGCAAUUUCAUGGACUCUGUUCAGGUAAAAUAUCCAUAGCGUAAUCAGCCGUUUAAAAGAGCUCCUCAAAGCAUUGGUUGCCUCAGUACAAAUCACCUAUUUCUUAACUCCACUGCGCCACAGCAGAAAAUAUGAGCGCUCCGCGUUCCCAUUUAGCGGUACUGGAACACGGAACACAGUCGGGCAACAUCAACGCAUUGAAAUCAAAUAAUUAAAACGCCAAAAGAGUGCACGAUCUCACCGAAAAAUCGUUGUGUUCUGCAAACCCGCGAUAGAAAAUAACUCGUUCAAGAAAAACUGAACAAAAAGUAAUACCUUCACGAAUCCAAUGUCCUUGGAGUAGAUACGGAAGCACUGACGGCAAGUGUUGAUGCCGUACUUGCGAAUCAUUCCGCAUGAGUUCCCGCACACCCGGCUGCACACACAAAGGAAUCCCGCAAACUGUAUGAGUUUUCGCAGCAUGAUGUAAUUCACACUGCUAUCGACUCCAUCAGACAGUGCCCAAAGCGCGGACUUCUGACCGAUGAACGGGAUCAUUACAACGAGGAAAAAACAACUCAGUCACUCUCAAUAGUGUAUUUCUUUACAACCCACAAAUGGUUAUCGAGUCCAGUUGUAAAAUACCGAGCGAGAAUAUAAAAAGGUAUUGCACUUGGGCUUCACUACUUAGAAUGUCAUCAUGUAACCGGAUGCUCUCAAGGCAAUCAGAUACCACUGCACCAUGUAGGAGAGGCCAAAAAAGCAAUGCUACUUGGGCAACUAACCCUACAGUCUCAACCUAGAAUCCACCACAUCAUCAUCUUCACACAGUACUUUAGACGAGAGGCUGCGUACAUACAGGAAAUCGCCACACUAUACUGAGAUUAAUUAGCAACAGACUGCACUCGAACUCGCAGUUCAUACACGAAACCUAAACAAAAACAAGAAACAUCAUGCAACAACCAUCAACAACAGGGUUUCAACAUCUACAGCGCGACGGCAGACCACCUGCCUAUCACUAGAACAUAAUAGUCUUGAUGAAUCCUGCACUAAUCGAAUCCAACUGGACUUUACAAAAUCUUCACAAGCGCGACUAAACAUUGCAGGUAGCCCAUGAGGGCCGGCGGGCGCUGGAACGCAUCUAGACCAGUCUAAGGAUAAGAACGUCAAUCGUAUAAACAGCUGCGACUGCAAGCCCAGCUGAGGAGGUUGCACUGCGCCGUCAGCACUAACAUCGAAGCCGAUUACAAAAAACCGAAACCCUAAUUACCCGACCCCAGAAUCACGAAGCGCGGAUCUUAUUCAAAGCAGGCAUGCAGGACACCAAAGGGAAAACGAAAGAAGGACUGAAACCGUUACCAGGUGCGGGAGCCAGGGCCGUAGCCCUUAGGGUGCGAGUUCCACACCGCCUCGUGACCCAUGCUGGCAGAUGAUGCAAGCAGCGACAACAACAGAUGCGACGAAGCACAAGAGGCGAGGGCGAGGGCGACUAAGGCGCAAGGGGAGAGCGAGAGUGGGAGAGGAGGACCGAUGGUGCGUGCUCCUCGUUAUGGCCACCCUGCGAGAGUUAUGGCCAGCCUUGGAAUUAGGGCUAGGGUUACGAGAUGGACCAGUCCACUCUGGCGGUCCACUCUGGCGGUCCACUCUGGCAGUCCAAGCUGUCCGACGUUACAUGCCCUGCUGGCAUCUGCGAAUACGUCACCAUUUCGGGUUACUGCAAUGUAUGUGUGUACACAACGAUGAAGAAACAAACCAAAUAUAAUCAUUAAAAAGCAGUAAAUGUGAGCAAAGGUGUAUAUAUUGGAAAAGUCGAGUUGCAUUUGUUGUUUUGAUUUUUAUGUUUAAUACACAUAUGGUGCUCAUAGUUACAUUUUAAUAUAUAUAUAUAUAUAUAUAUAUAUAUAUAAUAAAAAAUUAAGUAUACAUCCAAAAAAAUCUAUGAAAAUAUAUAAUUUUGUAUAUUAUUUCACUUUUAACUACUAUAAAAAUAAUAAUGAAACAUUCUAUAUUGAAAUGGGUUUAAAAUAGUACUUCUUAUUCGCCAAUAUUGGUGAGUAUUCCAAGAAAGUUAUUUAUUGAAAGACAAUAUAUUACUAGCGGAUAAUAAUAAAAAUAAUCAACUCUUAAAAUGUAAUUAUAUAUAUAUAUAUAUAUAUAUAUAUAUAUAUAUAGAGAGAGAGAGAGAGAGAGAGAGAGAGAGAGAGAAAAAAAAAAAACUUCUUACUCUUCAAAAUAUCUAUUUUUGUAAUUCUAGUUAGUUCUCAAUUUUUUCUUCAAAUACAAUAUAAUAAGUAUUGAAUAUAGUAUUUUUACUUGAGUAGCUUGCAAAUACAUAAUUAAGAACAAUCUCAAUAAUCUAUCAAGUACAAUAAUUAAUUUGUCUAAACAAUUUAGUACUUAUAAAAACUCAACUAUCAUGAACAAAAACCAAAUUCUUAUACAUAUCUCAAUAUUUUAUUUCAAGUGAUUGCACAUCUUACUAAAAAUAUGGUCUAAAAUGCUAUUUAUGAUAAUGACCAUAAUACGUUUUAUUGGAUUAAUAUGCCAAAACAAAGAAUCUAUCAUCUAUCCAAGAAGUUAUUUGUAAAAAACCAACGUUUUAUUUGGUACAAGUUAAAAUAAAAACCGUUAUUUUACUUUUUAAUAGAAUAAAAUUAAAGACAUCAAUUUUAAAUAUUUUGCAACUGUCAUACAAGAAAUUCAUUGAUAUUUAUAUUGUAAUAAGGAGAUAUUGUUAUCAACUAAAAGUUCACCAAAAUUUGCUAAAUAUUAGUAUAUUGUUUAAGAAUAUAAGAUAACUAGUCAUAUCAAUAAAUAUUUUAUUAAAACUAUGAUUUUUUUUUACAAGAUUAAAAAUGACUAAAAAUAACUUGAAGGAAGAAAAAAGAAACACACUCUUCUAAUCCUAUCUUAAUAUGUAAAUUUUUAAAAUUUUGAUUUAGAACUUCAUACUUCCAAAUUGAAUUCGAAAAUUUAAUCAAUAGGAAAUAAAUUCAAAACCUCACCUUUUCACACAUUGGUUACACAUCAAGAUUUGGAGAGCCUGAAGUUCUAAACCCUUCAGCUGCUGUAGUUCUAUCUUGUUCUCUCAACCUCGUAUUUGGAAAAAUAUGGCAGCUCUCCUAGUGUUCGAUGAAUGUUGCAUAGUUUUCAAAAAUAUUCCGUCUAAUCCUCAAAGGUGCUGCAUCCAACAUAUAUCAGCUUUUGAAGUUUUAAUUCAAAAUUCUCAACACAAUAAGUUCUAGUACAGGUUAUCCAAGGAAAAGUGUUAACUUUCCUUCACCACCUAGUGCUUGCAGUUAACAAGGGAAGUUUUGAAAGAAUUCUUCCUACUUCUUCCUUAAAAUUCUGCACAAAAAGACACCCCUCAUUCUGAUAAUCCCCUGAUAGAUUAUGACCAGAUGAGUCGCUCGAAAAUACAGAGCUUGAUUCGCAAUUCAACCUUAAAUAUUUAAGUCCAUAUAAGUUCUUUGCUUUAAUUGGGUAACUCAUGUAUUGUCGAGAUAGUGGGUGACCCUGCCAGUGCUGCGAGGAGGUCCGAAACAAUUUUAGGUGAUUCUUGGCAGUGCAGGUGACAUGAGACUCGUACGGAAUACAACACGAUUCCUAAGUAGUGUUACAAAUCAUUGCCCCAAGGAUACAGGUCGCCAGGAGGACCCUCGGUCCAGUUUAGGAACGAUUGGCCUGGUUGUAAGUAAAUACUAGGAUCGUGAGGCAACUUUCGAGCCAGUCCGUUCAGGAUCUGGUGGAAUGCAUCGCCAGGUUUUGCAGGUCGAGGGAAAAGCAUGGCUUGCUUCAUGGCUGGGUUAGCCAGUAGUCUCUGCUUCUCAAGCACCUCCUCAUGAUUAAUAGUACACAAUAUUUUGUCCAGUAUAGGAACAUCUUUCUCUUCCACAAACACCCCAAUCUUCUCCCAUGGUAUGGCAUCAGCGAAAGGAAGCACUAUGUCGUCUGCAAUAAUGACAGGAAUGCAACCAAAAAUCACCCCUUCAACAAGCCGGGGACUCCAGGGAGCCCAACCAAGUGGACACAAGCAAAAAAUUGCGCGUUGCAUGUCUUCAUAGUAAGUUGCUGGAUGCUCUGUCGAGAUGUCGAACAAUGGGUUAUCUUUGAAAUUUUCCCAGAUAGCUGCUCUUGCGCCUCUGCAAAGAAUCAUCCAAUGAAGAACUCAGUAUGUCUAACAAACCAAGAGGAAGCAAAAGAAUAAAUACACAAAAGAUGAAUAAAAACUAGCUUGCAUGCAUGUCGGGAGAGAGUAGACUGAUACUUCAGUAACCACAUUGAAAGUUUUGGUCAUGUCUCUUUAGCACACAUGAACACAACCCAAGAAAACCUUCUUUUAGAUUAUAGAACGAAAAAGCAUACUAAUAAAUAAAUAAACAAAUAAUACUACAUAUAAAAAUAGUAAGUAGUCGUAAAAACCUUACCGAGCAUAAUAACCACCUUCAGGAUCGUUGCCAGGGUCAUAAAAUAAACCUCUGAAAUAUGCAAAAAUAGAGCGUGGGGUGCUUGGCGGAUUCAGCCGGGUUUGCAUCCUUUCAGGUGGAGCAUACGGAGGGAUAACAAUUGAAUCUUCCUUGAGACAAACGUGAUGAUUCUGGCCAAACGUUUGAAUUAACGUUGCUCGCUUCAACAGUGGGAGAAUACCCCUCUCAAUGGCCUUUUCUUCCUGUAUCAGAAAAAAUGCGCAAGUUUAUUGUAAUAUAAAAAUGGUUUAAAAGUAAGCCUCAUUCUGUUACUUCCGAUUGUCACUAGAAAGAAGGAAAUAGAUGUUUUCACGAGUCAGUGGAAGCACAUCCCUCUUUGAUCAUCUGUGCCUUCUAGGAUUCGUGCAUAAUCCUACGGGUGCAGGACGUUAACUGUAAUCACAACGAAGGCACAAAAAGACAAAAUUGCGUAUGAAAGUGAAAUUUCUGAAUACCUGGUAAUGAAAGCAAGCAGCGAAAUCAUGUGGUACAACAAAAAAAUGGUCUGCUCCAUCUGUCCUGUUCCAGUACGGCCAGUGGCUAGAAAUGUAGCUGAUAGCACUUCUCAUAACGCGGGGUGACUUGAAAGGCAAAGGAAGCCCAUUUGGAGUCAAAUCACAUGUUGUGUACACAGGAGUGUAAAACCAGUCGGCCUCUUCAGGAUUCAACGUCCGGACAGGGCUUUCCGUCAAAAAGUCGUGAAGAUACUCCUCCACAGCGAACAUGUGUGUAAGACAGCGAGGGUCCUUUUUCAACCAAUCAGUGUUAUAUUUACUGUAGGACAACAAAGUUCAACCAUCGCUAGGUUAGAUACACUCCAGUAUUCUAUAUCUUAUGAAGCAACCCUCCCAAAGACAUCGUGUCAUAUCAAACAGUAAAAAGAGCGUCACAGUAACGUAAAAACCUUAAUAGAAUUCAGAAUACCAGAGCGAAAAGAAUUGGAUAUGAUUUCAUCUCUUAGAUGGUGCUCGUAAGCUUCAAAAAAAAUAAAUACCUCGGAAUGUCAUAGAUAAAAACUUUCAGACGGCCAACAGGGUUGUCCUCCAGCACAUCACCCGCACUUCCUGCAAAGAAUUUACCAGGUGUCCUUGUCAUCUAAGUGGAUGGUAUAACUUUCAUGUAGGACUUUCAUACAGAAAUAAAAUGAAAUAUGCCUUAUUAAGAGUUGUUCAUCACUGAAAAAUCAGGAUAACUAUGUUGCACACACAACCUUGCAACAGCUGAAAUGGCAUCUUUCAUUUAGUAGAAGCAAUAUUCAGCUGUCUUCAAGAUAAUAAGUUCCUAGGGAAAUUGAGCAUAAGUGGGUUCGCCUGGCGAUUGAGUUUCACAGCCUAAUUUCUUUCUACUGAACAGGAUAAGCUGCAUGUACUAUCUCUCUAUACUCGCACUUUGAACUAAUUUUGAGCGAUUUCUCAAGUUGGAGCUUGAUAACUGUGGGUUACCAAAGAAUUCCAAAUUGCUUAAUCAACCAGUUCUUAUAAAAUGCACCAUAUAAUCUGCACAAACUCUGGAAACCCGGGUCACCAGAUGAUAAAUUCUAUUUCCCCAAGCCAGCUUGCCAGGCUCCUUGCGCAACGAUCAAUAUUCACAACAUUCCCGAACAUAAGAAACCCUAAGCCAUGCAAAUGCGGUACCUGAAAUUCGUUGAUGACCCAUUUCCGCAGUGACAUCUUGAACAAAAUAGAUGAAUAGCAGCAGUAACACGACAGACCUUAAGCCAGAAGCCACAACAGUGCGCUUCAUUAACCCCCACCCUCUACAUUUCUUAUUACAGAACCAACUCAUAGCUAAACUACAAGAAUCUGCGCACUCCAAAGGGUGCUCCAUUGGCUGCCCUCCUUGUUCAGUGCCACCCCAUCAUGCCCUCCUACGAAACACCCAAUUCUCCCAUCCCUAAGAGAAGCUCCAAACCUUCCCGAAAACGCUACAAACCCUCUCUUCCGAUCCCCCAAAUGCUAGCUGCUAAAAAAAUAAAUAAUCCGUGCAGCUUAAACCAUCCGAACCCAUCCCAUCAAAUACCAUUCGCGUGUAGCUCGAUCGUGCAUCAACGCAUCACCGAAGUUUCCAAUGCUCCAAUACACGCACGCACACGCACAAGGUUGUCGUGAAUGCUACCGCUUGAGGCCAAGUCUGUCCCACUAGGACUCAAACCUCGGCUCCUCGGUGAUGAUCAGUGGGACAUCACGGCACCCACAGCUUCCUUCCAGCAAGCACGCAGCUGGCAAAGGGCUUGUAGCGUGAAGCUGGGCAUCAUGCUUCUAUGUCCAACAAGCGAUUGCACCCCGACUACUAAAUUUGUUUGGCAUGAUUCUCCUGACCAACUCGUGCUGCUUCUUCUCCGACGCCUUGACUCGGCCCAAGGGACCAGGACGCUGCGAGACCGUCAAUAAUAUCCAAGUUCGUUGAUUUCAAGUCAAGGUUUACAGAUAUUAGAGUGAAGUCUUCUCUUCUAAUUCAAGUGUAGAUUUGAAUGCGGAUGCUGACCAGGUGAGAAAUGAGAUCCAGAUCUUGAAACGACGUUCCACGGAUGGUGGCAUGAUCCUAAAUUAAACUAGGUUAGUGUUGAAUUAGUCGUUAAUUUCAUGUUAAGUGAGGUCUGUACCGAUGAGUAGAAGUGUAGGGUUUCAUUUUGUGUUUGAAUUUAGACAGUGGUUUUUGUGUUUGAAGUGAAAUUUUUUUUUUUUUUUUUUUUUUUUUUUGCGUAAUUAAAAUAGCCCGACAUUUUAGACGAGGAAUUUGAUAGCUUUUUUAAUACCAGGAUUAGAUUACAUAAUUUUUCUAAAAUCAGCUUUUUAUCAAAGUUAAAAAGUUACAGUUAAAAACAUUCAAUGCAUUAGAUAUGUUGAUAUCAUGGACAUUCAAACAGACUAAACUAGAUUUGAUAAAGCAAUUUUGGUCACACACACCUAACAACAACAACAACAACAACCACGCAUAUGUAUAUAAAUAUAGGCACAUAUAAUUGAUCACAUGGGUACACAAAAAAUAAUCAAUCAAUGUUAGAAAUAUUAAUAGUGCAUUCGCUUUACAGCUGUGCACUAUUAAUGUGCUUGAAAUUCCAUGCACAAUCAACAACAUGUGGAAUGAAGGAACACGCAUACAUAUACAACAUGUGGAAUGAAUGAACAAUUUUAGGUUUUAAAAAAACCAAUCCUUUUGAAACCCUAAUCCUGUAACAACGCGGAAGCCCUAUCCCUUACGCAGUUUUCAUGUCGAACAGGCUCGUGGUUGCUGGUGAAUUCAUGGCGCCAUGGAUGGGAUUGGCCGAUACGGCGCGAGCUGCAACGCGUCAUGGCAGAGAACCUCAAAGGCGGCUCUGGAAAUCAGAUGAUAUCGGUGGCGGCAGAUUAUAGCAGGUCUCUAAGAUUGACUUGAGCUCGAACAAGCGCUGGAUUCGGUGUGUAGGUUUUUGUUCGUCCGCAAGCUCGUUGGACUGAUACCGCCCCGAUUCGUCCAGCAAGCACGUCAUGGCGUCCGCGCGAUUCCCACAGACGAUGUCAUCAGCUGCACUGUCGCCCACCAUCAUCACCUCGUGGGGGUGCAGGCCCCAUUUGUCGCAGAUGUGCAGCAAUGGCGCGGGAUGAGGCUUGCAAGGGGUGAACUCACGGCCCAAAGCGGGAUGGAACUUGGGCAAUCCGAAUCGUGAGUGGAAGAAUUCGAUGCCAGUGUUCACAUUGCGGGUGAUGAUGCCGCGACGAAUGCCACGCGCAUCGAGGAAUGAGCACACCUCCUUCGCGCCCGGCAUGAUCUGAAGCUUCUCAUGGGCGUCUUGCUCGAUCUCUGUUAUUAUGGCGUACGCGCGAGCUUGUUUCUCGGAGCUCCAGCUGGAGAUUUCGUGAAGGAUGUCGAUAGGGUUGUUGUUGACGACGUCUGGAUGAUCUCCGCCCAGUAUACGUUUGUACAUGAGUCGGAAGUCGAUGCAAGGCACGGUAAGAGUCCCGUCCAUGUCAAAGAUCAUACCCUUCACCGAUGGCUUUGGGUGGAAAUGCUCCGCUGUCCCCGUCAGUAGCCGUCUUAUGGGUGACAUAGCCCUUCUGAAGCCUCACCACUCCUUUACACGGAAUGGACCAGGGAAGAGCUGAUACGCCAGUAACCCUUCAAGUAGUUUCCUGCAACCCAUAAACAUGAAUGCACCCCCAAGUACCAAAAGAUUAGAUUAUGUACAACACUUCUGCCCGAUUUUCCGUGACCAAUACCCACGUAAGCAACUCUUGAUCUGGACACAGCGUGUGCCGUAGCAAUUUGAUCUGCUUCAGCUGAAAGGAUUUCUUCCCUUGGCACUCUAUUGGUGAACAAUCAACCGAGAGCUAGUAAUUCCAAGAAGUACUAGAUAGUACAAUGUCUAAGACACUAUCAGUACAAUACCGUAAUCGAAUUAUCAAUUUGGAACGAGAGCAACGAUAGUAAGCCGAGAAGGUGUCGAAUUGCGGUUUGAUAGAAAAAUCUUGGUCAGAAGCACUGUUUUUCUAACAUGCCAGAUUCAAAAUAACACUCUCGGCAACGAGAGUGUUCAUCAAGCUGUCAAUAUGCGAAAUUCCACAGUCGUACAAUCACGAAUGGAAGAAAACCCGAAGCACUCGACGUUCGCACUCAAAAACCCAAUCCCUAUAUCCCAAUUCAGAGAGGGAAAACGAUUCCCAAGAUCAGUUAUUCAAAUUCCAAUACAUUCAUUCCAACCAUUGCCCUUAGCAUUGCAAUCCCACCAACUUCUCAGUAAUUCUUUCAUACCUUCAAGGCCCUGAACACUCCCGACAAUUCAAUAUUGGUUGUUGAUAGCAUUGCACGUUUCCAACCUCAAACAAAUGAAGCUCCAGAGAGUAACGGUCUCCACCACUCUGCCUUGAAGCUCCAGGUCAAUUCUCGGCACGCAGAGAGUGUAUAGAAAGAGUUCCAUCUCCACAUACCGCAAGGCCUCGGUGUGACAUACUGUAACACCAAAAGUGGAGAGCGAAUCUGGACCUUCCACAUCGUGAUCAUACUAUCAUUCUCCUUGAAAAAGCAACUCCCAUCAAACGCAAAGCUGUGGAAAUGACAGUGCGUUAGAAAGUGAGAAAGAGAGGAGACAGUCAUCGUCUCAUCCAUCCGCGACCCGUCGAUUUCUACCCCAUAUCUCUCUCUCUGCCUCAUCCGCUUAAAUUCCGUGGUUGCAUGAAGCAAGCAGGGUUAGUUUAUAUUAUUGGUUGUGUGUCAACGUAUGGUCAUCAUGUUGGCUCUCUGAAUGCCAUCUCUCUUGGGUAUUAGAGUCUCGCGCUACAACUCAUCCAGGGUUCCUGCAUGUAGAGAGUUGAGAAAAGAGAGAGAGCUACCUCGCAGACCCACAGAGGCAUUACCUGCUAAGGAGAUUCUGAUAUCCACAACAUGAAGCGAUUGUCAUCAUGUAGGGCUAUUGAAGGGCACCAGACCGAGAGUCUCUUAGUUAGUCUCAAAAGAUUGGACAAUGUGUUGAAAGACACAAAUACACAUUUUUAGUGCAAGUCACGUCUGCUUCUGAUCCAUUAUGUCUAUUCAAGAUAGGCCAAGCACAACCACCUGUGAGCGAUAUCGCUUUGUGACAUAGGUAUAACUUCUUGAUAGGGCAUCGCUUUCAGAGACGGUAUCAAUUCAAGACCACAUCUUGAGAUAGGUAACACCAAUAUAUAUAUAUAUAUAUAUAUAUAUGUAUAGAUAUGUGUUUUUUUAACAAAGUUUAGUAUUGAUAAUGUUGUUUUUCAUUUGCAUGAUAUCAAAGCAAGUAUGAUAAUUCACACCAGAGUUUGCACAUGAGUGAAGAUUUCUCCUAUUUUAAUAGAGAUUCAAGUUUGUUUGUUUUCACCUAAUGUUGAUCAAGUGAAUUAGAUAUAAUAAGCAAGACUCCAUUAUGGACUCUAUUGCCACAAAUUUCACUAAUUGGUGACAAGUCUAGCUUUGAUCAAUAUGCCCUUGGGAGGUUUUCAUUUUUUAUAAGAAAAAAUAAGGAUUUAUAUUUUGGAGUAUUUUGUGCAAUUUGUAGCACAUCUAUACAUAAAAAAUUUAGAGUUAGUACCUUAAGUUAUGUUGAAUGUGUGUUUAAGCUUGAUCAAAUAGUUAAUCAAAGAUUAUUGAAAUUUAAGUGGGAAGGAGACUAGGAAAUUGGAAUUUGGAGGGCUAGUGAAGGUUUCUCAUAUUUGUAACAAUCUGCAAAUUGGCAUUUUUUUUAUUUAUUAUUAUUAUUUUUUUAAUACCAGUAGCAGACUUGAUUUCCAACAAUUAUGCCAAUCUUGAAAGAAAUUGAACAAUAAAAACAAGAGAUGUCAGUGCUAAGAAUAUGCCAUUAAGAUUGGAGGAAGAAGGUGGUUGAUGCCUAAGUAGAUAAUGAAAAUUUUCUUCUAUUCAGUAUGUUUAAUCUUCAUUAAACUAUUUUUUCUUUUUUUUUUUAAUUAAAAAAUUGAAAGAUGCACAAGUUUUUAAUUAAUGACAGCAAUUAAAUUAUUAGUUAUUGAGAUUUUUAUUUUAACAUAGGAUUUAAUUAAGAUUUGAUUAUGAUUACAUAGGAUUUGAUUAUGAUUUUUGGUAGGUAUUUAUUAGAAUUUGGCUAAGAGUAAGCAUUAAGAUUUUGUAAAGAUUUGACUAGGAUUUAAGAUAAGGAUUUGAAAAGGAUUUAAUUAAGAUUCUUUUAGGAUUUAUUUAAAGUUUGAUUAGGAUUCCUUUAGGAUUUCAUACAAAUUUUAUUAAGUGUCUUUUAAGAUUCUUUUAAAAUUUUAUUUGAAUUUGAUUAGGAUUUGAUAAGGAUUCAUUAAGAUUUCAUUAAUGUUUGGUUAUAAGUACUUAGAGUUUGUUAGAAUUUGAUUAAGAUUUGAUUAAAGUUUCUUUAUGGCUUAAUAAAAUUUGAAUAGGAUAUGAUUAAGAUUUAUUUAGAGAUGAUUAGAAUUUAAUAAGAUAUAUCUAGGAUGAUUUCAAAAUUAAUAGGAUAUAUUGAGGAUAAUUAGAAGUUUAUCCAAGAUUGCAAAGGGGUGUUUCUAAAUGCCUUAUACAUAGGUUUUGGUUGUAAAUCAAACUUUAAGGUAAGCUCAUUCUCUUCUACAAUUAGAUGUCUAGUGCAUCAAGUUAGAUUUCACAUAACACAACACUGCCUUUGGUUUAGGUAGUUAAGAAAAAAUACAUAUUUACAAAGGUUAAGUAGCAAAGAUUUUUUUUUAUCACAAUGUAGCUAUAAAUAGCUAUAAUAUUAUUUUGUAGAUAAUACAAGAAUAGCAACAAUUAAUAUUUGGUUAUAUACUUUAUAUCUAUUUUAUUAGUACAUAGAUAGUUCUAAGUCUUAGGUUGUAAAAUGAUUAGAGAAAAGAUUCAUGAAGACCUUUAGGUUUUCAACUCAAUAUGAAGAAGCCUUGGAACUCUGGCUUUGGAAUUGUAAUUGUGGUGCUUGAAGGCUAGUCAGACGAUGAAUUAGAUCGAAAAUGUGUAAUUGAUGAUUAUGGAAGGAUCUUGGCCUCUUACAGAAGCUUCAAAAGGGACAUUUCUUCAGCUAUUAGUACAACGAAAAGAAAUAGAAUUAGUUAAAUGAGGAAGGAUUAUGUGGAGAACAAUUUACUAUUUUGUAUGUUGUUAGAUGGAGCUUGGGACAUAGUUCCAAGGCCAAAUUGAAGAGGUUAAGAUUGAGCAUGGGAAAUACAUGAGAUUGAGCUGUAAAUUAUUACAUAUGAGAUUGAGCAUGAGAAAUUGGGUCUGUUAUAUUAAGAAUGCAUUAAUCAUCAGGCAGGCAUAUAGCCCUGCCAUCUUCGGUCAAGUACCCACGUCUGCCUCGCUCUAGCUUCCAGCAGGUAUAUCGAACAAGCACACAAGCAAAUUAACAACCGUACACUGCAACACGACAUUUCAAUCCCAAAAACAACACCGUUCUGGACACCCUGUAACUGCUCCGCCAAAACCAAAUCCCGCACUAUUCACUUCUUCUUGGCAGCGGCCUUAGUAACCUUCGCACCAGUUGGUUCCUUCUUCUCCACGGCCUUGAUAACACCUACGGCCACCGUCUGUCUCAUGUCACGCACGGCGAAACGUCCCAAUGGCGGGUAUUCCGCGAAAGUCUCCACAGUCAUGGGCUUGGUCGGAAUCAUCUUUACGAACCCUGCGUCUCCGUUCUUCAAAAACUUGGGCUCCUUCUCCAGCUCCUUACCCGAUCGCCUGUCCACCUUCGUCAAGAUCUCGGCAAACUUCACAGCAAUGUGAGAGGUGUGGCAGUCCAGCACCGGCGCGUAACCGUUUCCGAUCUGUCCCGGGUGGUUCAUGAUGAUAACCUGGGCAGUGAAGUUGGCUGCUUCCUUCGCAGGGUCGUUCUUCGAGUCCGAAGCCACGUAUCCUCUCUUCAGGUCCUUCACCGCCACGUUCUUCACGUUGAACCCGACGUUGUCUCCGGGGUGAGCCUCAGGCAUCGACUCGUGGUGCAUCUCUACCGACUUCACCUCAGUCGUCAGUCCAGUGGGUGCAAAGCACACCAACAUACCCGGCCUGAUGAUUCCAGUCUCCACACGUCCCACUGGCACAGUUCCAAUACCUCCAAUCUUGUAGACAUCCUGAAGGGGCAACCGCAGGGGUUUGUCGGACGGCCUCUUGGGCUCUGACACGUUGUCCAGGGCCUCGAGAAGGGUUGGGCCCUUGUACCAGUCCAAGUUCGUCGAUCGCUCGAUCAUGUUAUCACCCUCGAACCCUGAGAUGGGCACGAAGGGGAUCUUGUCGGGGUUGUAACCGACCUUCUUGAGGUAAGUCGACACCUCCUUGCUGAUCUCAUCGAAUCGAGCCUUGCUGUACUUCGGCGUGGUAGCGUCCAUCUGACAAGCAAGUAACGAGCAUUGUGAGAAACAGAUUACAUCCGUAGACCGGGCAUAUAGUUUUCCAUUGCAAGUAAGAACAUAGCAAUAAAAUUAGAGAGGCAACUCGUCCGGUUUGACUUGGGCAAUCUAGACCCUGCGCACAAAGACAAGUGGGCAACCUAGACCCUGCUCACGGACCAGAUAACAUAACAUAAUUCUUCUUUAGGUAACGAGACCGAAUUCAGAGUACAUCUAGCUUGCCUAACCUUGUUGCAGCAGCAUAUCAUCUGCUUCACUCCCAAGGUGAAAGCCAACAGAGCGUGCUCACGGGUCUGUCCAUCCUUGGAAAUACCAGCUUCAAAACCUCCGGUGGUAGAGUCAAUGAUGAGAACCGCGCAGUCAGCCUGGGAGGUACCCGUGAUCAUGUUCUUGAUGAAAUCACGAUGUCCGGGAGCAUCAAUCACAGUACAGUAGUAUUUCACUGUCUCGAACUUCCACAGAGCAAUGUCAAUUGUGAUACCACGCUCACGCUCGGCCUUGAGCUUGUCCAACACCCACGCAUACUUGAAAGAACGCUUGUUCAUCUCCGCCGCUUCCUUCUCGAAACGCUCAAUCACACGCUUGUCGAUUCCUCCCAGCUUGUAGAUAAGAUGACCAGUGGUGGUCGAUUUUCCGGAGUCGACAUGGCCAAUGACCACGAUGUUGAUGUGUACCUUUUCCUUACCCAUGUCGGUCAAGCUGACAGACCCCAACAAACCAAAAGUUAGCUUAACUUGCUACAGGGGAUCAUGCGGGAUAACACCCGCAAGGACAGAGUCGGAGUAUAUGCAAGAACUCAACAGAAUACUAGCCAUAGUAUCUAGGUGAAACGAUACUCCCAAAGGCUAGCAACAAAGAGCUGCAAACCAUCCACCGCCGCAGGCUCAACCACCUUGACCCACCAAUCAAUCCGCAAGCUCGACAGAGGGGACUCACUAACACCUUACCCCUCCACUGAGCCACUCUUGAAGACCCUUAUUACUACGCCACAGCUAAAAGGAUCGCAUGACCGGCAAUGAACAAAAAAUAAAAGGUAAAACGAGAGAAAAAAACAAAUGAUGUAAACACUAACACGGAUACCUGUAACAGAAGUAGGGCAGAUACACGCGAAGUGCAGGCAAGAAUGCAAAGAAUUGUAGAGGGGCAGGAACCCACCGUGGGUGCGAGGCGGCGAGAGGGGCGACGAGGGCGAAGGCUGCUGGAGGCGAUUGAAGUGGGCGGCUGAGGGCGGGGGUGGCUGGUUCUUGAAGGAACAGGCGGUUUGACGGCCAACCCUAAUCAGCGCAGCACAGGGUGGCGUCGCGUCGGCUCCAAGCCCGGAAGGGGGGGGGGGGGAGGUGGGGGGGGGGGGUGUGUGUGUGGUGUAGUGGGUGGGGUUCGUUAUCGCAACGUCUUCGCUCACAAAAAUCUCGUCGCUCGGUUGGGAUGCUCUAUGCCGCGCGCGCGGUUAUGGACACCGCGGCUCUAUCACGGUGUGGGUGUGGGAUCCAGUCUCCUUCUCCGUGAAGCGUUUGCCAAUUAGGUCAUGCGGUUUUCAGCUGACGUGACGACGGACUCCUGAAAAAAAGUUUGCCUCAAACUUUUCGUUCGUUAUGUGGUCUGGCAAUAUUGGGAGCUUGGUGCAUCGUUAAUGUUUUGAUUACCAAUAAUAAAAACAUGGUAUUGGAUUUAUGGUUGGAUUAUUUUUUUAUAUGCAUACAUGUGAAUUCAUAUAUAUAUAUAUAUAUAUAUAUUCAUUGAGUUUUUUAUUUUAAAAUUAUUGUACUUAUUUAUAAUAAUGGUUAGAUAGUUCUUUCUUAAUAUUUAUUUUUAUGAUUUACAUUAGUUAUUGGAUUUUUAUUUUUGUUUUUGUAAAGGUAGUAUCUUUGAAUUAUAUGUUAAUAUGUUUUUUUCAUCAUAAGUAUAUACGAUGUUUAUAUAUUGAGAUGAUUUUUUUAAAAAUUAAAUAUGUUAUUUAUUUAUAAAAUUUAAAAUAAUUAAUAAUAUUAUUUUUGAAAUAAUUACAUUAAUAUCUAUAAUUAGUAUUUAUCAUACUAUUUAAAAAGUAUCUUUGGAAUAUGAGAGUUUGAUUUAUAAUAUAUAUUAUAUUAAAUAAAAAAUGUAUACUAAUAAUAUAAUAUUCUAAAAUUAUAUGUAUGUGAAGGACAUGAAUCUUGAAGAAUUGAAAGAUCAAGACACUCUUGUAUUAGUCAAAAAGAUUAAUCUUUAUAGAUUUUGAUAGAUAUAAUUAAUAACCAACAAACUUAAUUUGUUUAUAAAUAAGAAAAGGUCUAAGCCUAUAAUAAUCCAACUGAUCACAAAGAUAUGUAGUCUUGAUAUUAUGCCGAAAUAACCAUACCUUGUCGCUUAUGUUAAAUUGUGGUUAUUUCUUGCAAUGGCCAUUCAGAUUGAUUUUUGUUGUUUUUGAGCUUCUUUUAAUUAUGUCUUUAUUUUUGCAUAUAUCUUUGAUAAUUAAUUUUUCAAAAUUUUCUACCACAUGAUUAUUAGCUUUGAAAAAGCAUAAAAUAUCAAAUCAUGGAUGAUAAUCAUAAUUGAUAAAGAAAGGUAUUUGUUAAAUAGAAGAAUGUAUCAAAUUAUUGUAUGUAGACUUUGUCAAUGGUAAAAGAGUUGCCCAAUCAUCUUGAUAAUAGUUAAUAGUAUACUUCAAAUACUAUUAAUUCCAUUUUUCCAUUAAUUUGAAGAUAAAAGACUAAUGUUAAUUUUAUAUCUAUCUUUAAUAUUUUAAAAAGGAUUUUCUAAAAUCUUAAUAUAAAUUAUGUCAUUUUAUCUAAUAUAAUAAAUUUUGAUAAUCCAUAAUAAUGAUAAAUGUUGUCAAAAAAAAGCUUAGCUAUUUUUUUACUUGAAAUAGAUUUUUUACAUUGUACAAAAUGUAUCAUUUUAGUGAAGCAAUCUACAAUCAUAAAUAUAAAGUCAUAUAAACUUGAAUUUAAAAGAUCUAUAAUAAAAUUGUCAAGGACAAAGACUCGAUGAGGGAAAAUAUACAAAAAGGCUAUCUCGAUAUAAUAAGUCAAAAUAUAAACAAGUAGGUAUAUUAAAAGGAAACUGGAAUGGCUAUUGCCACAAGACAAGAAACUAAAGACUCUCGAACCUGGACUAGAAGCAAGAAAGGAGUUGACAAGAGUGAAGAAGCCUUCACUCUUGUCUCUAUAUAUACUAUCUAACUAGGAGCUACGUGACGACGUUCUAUAGGACCUCCAAUAUGUGUUGACUUUGUAGGACACAUGCCUUGACUUACAAGGCAAGUUUUUCUACGUGUGGGCCACAUAGUUAGCUUGAUCUUCAAGCUAACAACAUGUGUGGCACAUGGCCAACUUGUUGACCACGUUUCUAAUCCAAAAAGUCAAUUAAAGACACUUAUGAAGUCAAAGCAGCGUCUAGGAAGUUUUUAGGAAGCUUCUAUAUUAAAUAUUAUAGAAUUAACUUACUUUUAUCUACUUUUACUUACUUCUACCUAUUUCUAUAUGUAAUUAUUAGCUUACAUGAUUAUGGCUAUGACAUUACCCCCCCUUCUAGAGACGAGUUCCACGAGGAGCGGUCAUCAUAUGUUGAGGAAAUCUAUGAUGCGACGAAUUGUAUUCGCCACAUACUCUGAUCUCUGUUCUCUUCGAAGAUGAUUGAUAGGGCCUCUCAACCAUCGGUAGUGUCCCAUACCAGGGCGGGAAGACCACCCAGUUAUUUGAUCAUUGUUGAGGCCUUCGUAACUUCCUUCGAAUAGAAUAUUUGGAACACCAUCAGGAGUUGUUCCUACCUCUAGUAAAAUCACCAAACAUCGGGAGUCCCUUCCCAAAUCGUGAUACCAAACGCGUUGUAUCUCACCAUCUAUUCGAGGAAGAACAUGUCGUUCUUGAAGAUGUUCAUCUCGAUUGCGUCGUCUUGAAGGUUGUGACAAUUGUAAUGUCUCGUCCGGCAGGUCAGCAAACGAAGGUUCUUGAGUUGAAUCCGCUGGUUGUUGGCUCUCCAUCUAAUUAGCGUCAGAAAUGUAAAGAAGUUAUAAACAAGGAUAGGAAAUUGAAUGUUAUCUUGCAUCAAUCUUGUCUCUUUUAUAAGAGAGAUUUUCAUCUUGGUUUCGAUGGAUGUCGUUGAUGAAAAACUUUGACUUUAGCUGAUGCAUUUGCUAGAUUCCUGGAUGGCUCCCAUGUGCGUUCACUAAUAUCAUAUCCGCGCCAAUGAACAAGAUAUUCCAGCUUAUUUCGGCGCCGCCUUGAGUCUAAUAUCUCUUCCACCUCAAAUUCUUCAUUAUUAUCUACUUCUAUAGGAGGCGGUGGCAUUUGUUUUCUUCCUUGUAUAUCCACUGUCUUAUAUGGUUCAAGAAGAGACACGUGGAAUACAGGAUGGAUCUUUAUUGACUCCUGUAGAUGUAACCGAUAUGCAACUGGGUUGAUCUAUUCAGAAACAGAAAAGGGGCCAAGCCUACGAUAGUCCAACUUGUCACAAGGUCGAGUAGUCUUGAUAUUGCGACGAAGUAGCCAUACCUUAUCACCCACAUUGAGUUGUGGUUGCUCCUUACAAUAUAGAUCUGCGUUUAUCUUUUGUCGUUCUUGAGCUUCCUUCAAUUGCGUCUUCAUUAUUGCAUGUAACUCUGACAACCGAUUUGCCAUAUCUUCUGCUGCAGGAUUAUCAACUUUUGAAAAAUCAAAAGUAUCAAGUCGUGGAUGAUAGCCAUAAUUGGCAAAGAAAGGUGUUUGUUGCGUGGAAGAAUGUACCGUAUUAUUAUAAGCAAACUCUGCCAAUGGCAGAAGGGUUGUCCAAUCAUCUUGUUGGUAGUUGAUAGUACACCUUAAAUAUUGCUCCAAGACUUGGUUUACGCGCUCUGUUUGUCCAUCAGUUUGAGGAUGGAAAGUCGAAGAUAGUUUUAUGUCCACUUUUAAAAUCUUGAAAAGGGUCCUCCAAAAUCUUGACACAAAUUGAGUUCCCCUAUCCGAUAUGAUAUCUUUAGGUAAUCCAUGAUAGCGAUAGAUAUUAUCAAUGAAAAGCUUAGCUGUUUCUUCACCUGUGAUAGAUUUUGUACAUGGCACAAAAUGUGCCAUCUUGGUGAAACGAUCUACUAUCACAAAUAUAGAAUCAUAAGAUCUUGAGCUUGGAAGAUCUGUGAUGAAAUCCAUAGAAACAGAAGACCAUGGUUGUUCUGGUAUAGGUAAUGGUUGAAGAAGUCCGUAAGGUCGAUGAUGAGGAAUUUUUGAUCUUGAACAAAUAUCACAUGAUUGUACAAAGUCUUUGACUGACUUCCACAUUUGUGGCCACCAAAAAUCUCUUGAUAUGAGUUCCAAAGUCUUAUUAUAUCCAAAGUGCCCUGCUGCUGGAAAGUCAUGACGUGCUUGAAGAACACGUAAACGUGCUUCUCCUUCUGGAACAUAUAGGCGUCCUUCAAAAUAUAAUAGAUUAUUCUUGAACUCGAACUUAGAAGGAUCAUGAGACUUGGAAGAAUUAUUCUCGAUAUCAUAAACAAGAGGGUCUGAGGACAUACUGGACUGGAUUUGCUUGAGAAAAGUUGAAUCAACAGUCAAUGUUGAUUUCAUUGCUCGGAGAUGAAAUUGCUCCGGUUUCAAGAGGACCGUUCUUUGUUGCUCAAAAGCUGCAUCUCCUUCUUUUGGUGCAAAAUAAGAACAUCUAGAUAGGGCAUCGGAUAAACCUUGUUGUUUUCCUGGCCGAUAAGUGAUAAUGAAGUCGAAUCUUGACAAAGACAUACUCCAACGAGCUUGACAACGAUUCAACACGCGUGUUGACAUGAAAUACUCGAGGUUCUUGUCAUCUGUAUACACAGUGACUGGACUAGAAGCGCCUUCUAGAUAAUGAUGCCAUUCUUGAAAGGAAUCCACGAUCGCAAGAAGUUCUUUAUCGUGGAUCUCAUAAUUGAUCUUGGUUGCUACGAAUUUUCUUGAAUGAAAAUCUAUCAGAUGAAGUUUGUCAUCUGUUCCCAUUUGUGAUAAAACUGCACCCAAAACAAAAUCUGAUGCAUCUGUUUCCAUAAAAAAUGCCUUGAAAAAGUCAACACGAUAUAAGACUGGUGCAGAAACAAACGAUGUCUUCAAAGCUUCAAAUGCUGCUUCCGCUUCUUGAUUCCAUUGAAAUUUAUCUUUACUAGUCAAGCGUGUAAGUGGAGCUGCAACUCGUGAGAAAUCUUUGAUGAAGAUUCGAUAGUAAUUGGCAAAUCCCAAGAAACAUUGGACAUCUCUUACCGUCCUUGGAAUCUUCCAAUCCAUGAUUAUUUGGACUUUCUUAGAAUCCAUCAUGAGACCAUCAUUUGAAAUGAUGUAUCCUAAAAAGUCAACUUGAGUAGUGUGAAAUACACACUUUUCCAUCUUGGCGUACAAUCCUGCAUCUCUAAGUUUUUGUAAUACUUGACAAACAUGUAUUUCAUGUUCUUCGUCGUUCUUAGAAUAGAUCAGGAUAUCUUCUAGAUAGCAGACGACAAAAUUGUCUAAGAAUUCACGAAAUACAUCAUUCAUGAGAUGUUGAAAAGCAGCUGGUGCAUUCGUGAGUCCAAAGGGCAUGACAUUAUAUUCGAAAUGUCCAUACCUGGUUCGAAACGCAGUCUUCCAUUCAUCUCCUUCUUUGAUCCGUACUAGAUUAUAUGCUCCUCUUAGAUCUAUUUUUGUAUAGAUCUUAGCUUGAUUCAACUAGUCAAGGAGUCCUGAUAUCAAAGGUAAUGGAUACCUGUUCUUGAUUGUGAUCUUGUUGAGUCCUCGAUAAUCAACACACAUUCGUAAAGAUCCAUCUUUUUUCUUUACGAAUAGAAUUGGAGCUCCUGCUGGAGAUUUUGAAUGGCGUAUGAAAUUCUUCGCUAAAUUCUCGUCAAUAUAUGUCUUGAGUUCAGCCAUCUCAUCUUGCGAUAAACUGUAAAUUGGUCCAAAUGGUGGCUGAGUUCCUUCCUUGAGGUCGAUUGAACAAUCAUAUGGACGAUGCUCAGGAAGAAUAUCUGCAUUCUUUUUCUCAAAAACGUCUUGAUACUCCUGAUAUUGACUUGGAAUGCCACUUGAAGUCUUUACGUUUUCAGAAAUAGGUGCAGCAUAAAUAGCAAAAGUUGAUCCUUCUUUUGCUGCGUGUAUAAAUGCUUUUGCACCUAUCAGUGCGGGUUUUAUUAUACUAGACUUAUAAUUUUUUACUUGGUUAGUAGAACUAUUAAUAACGCUCUGGAAAAAGUCAAGUUUACAUGAAUUCAAAUCUAUUCGAGGGUUAUAUUUUUCUAGCCAGGAUAAACCUAAAAUAACUGGAUUGGACGGGGAUUUAAUUAUGUUAAAAGCUAUGUAGCUAUCAUGACCGUCUAUUGUUACUUUUAUAGGAUGAGUUUCAUGAGUGACAUCUCCAGAAGACAAGGGACGACCAUCUAUGACUUCUACAUGUAUUGGUUUAGGUUUCUGUACAAAGGGUAUUUUACGACUUUUAAGAAAUUGUUCAUCUAAAAAACAUGCUGAGGCUCCUGAAUCUAAUAAAGCAGAGGCUUUGUAAUUCUUAGGUCCUAAAUAUAAGUCUAUUAUAAAACAAGGAGAGGGUUCUGAGGAGAGGAUAGGACCUUCAUUAGGAAUUGUACAAGGUUCCAGCUGCACGGUCCCUAUUGUAGCUGGACGAAUCCGUUUUCCGACAUAUUGUCUUCUUUGACCGUCGUACCCCUCAUUUUAUAGUUGCGUCGUUUCUUUGGACAAUGUUGAGCAGUGUGCUUAGGUUCUCCGCAAUAUAAACAUAAUCCUUCUUGACGACGACGAAUCUUUUCUUGCUCAGUUAGAGGUUUAAAACGUACCGCGUCAAUUUGCAUGUCUUCUACUUCCGGAUGUACGUUUGGUAAAGAUGUUGAUGUUG